rnacentral:lncRNA from 1 species
AAUAGGAAAGUUUAUCACUUUAGAACAAACAUUAGCUUUUACGCUUUUCAAAGAUGGUGCUUUGACAAUAUAGUUUUGUGGGACAAAACUAGUCAAGUUUCGUAACCAAUCAAGUUCUAGAUCUUGUAGACUUGGAAGGAGCAGGCUACUAUGGUGUUGAACUCCAUUUUGUUCAUAUGGCAUGCCGAAUACUUGCUUUAAUGCACCACAAGAAGAAACCGAAAGCGAUGCAAGAGCAGGAAGACCUUGAGCCAAAGUGAUUGGCACAACAUAUUCCAAUUUUGAACACGCUCUGAUGAAAAGAGUCUUCAAUUUGGGCAAGCGGAGAGGAAGGGAAGAAGUCUUUGAUUCUAUUUCACGAUCAUUGAAAAGAGUUUCCAAUUCGUUGCAGUCUUGUAUCUUGAGUUGUUCUAAAAGCACUAGGCUUUGAAUAAGGGAAGGUGAAAAAAGGGAUUUCAAUUUUCCGCAUCCACCUAUGUCUACAGCCUUAAGACUUUGGAAGGUGAAAGAAUGGGGUGAGCCUUUGAAUAUCCAUCUCAAUGCUGGUAAUCCGUAGAGCUCCAAAGAUUGUAAAUUUGAAAGUGGGUGUUCUUGAUUUUCUUCUCCGUCAUGAAGGAGCUCACCCACCACUUGCAACUUACAACAUCCUCUAAUUUCCAGAUGUUUCAAGUUUUUGAGGAAACCUUGUGGAGGCUGACCUUGCAUAAGGCUUCCAACCCAUCCAUAUCUUCUAUAAAUAAUGUCUCCAAAUGAGUGAAUGCUGAAGUUGGCCCAUUCUUUGUUGUAUCAACCAAGCAUUCAAGAUCCUGAAUUUCUCUUAGUUCAAGUUGUUUUGAAGUUUUGAAUGAUUCCUUGAAUGCUGAUAGUCGAACACCCUAAUUGUAAUUCACAUCAUCAUUAAAACACAUUUUAUAUAUCAAUUAGCAAUCAAUAAUUGACAUACAAACAUAAAUAGUUAAAUUUUCUUUUAAAUCAAUAUUGUUAUCUACGGUAAAUACCAUUAAUGCAGAAUUAAACAAAGGGCAAACAACUCUAAGUAAUCAAACUCAUAAAUUGCCUACUUUAAUUACUUGGAAGGCUGGAAAUAAAAAAAAAAAUAGACAGUUAAUGAAAAUGUUACAUCUACAUGGUUUCUUUAAUUUGCAUUAAGUAAGAAACUAGAAAACAAUUCAUUUGUGUAAUAAAAAAAAAUGCAUUUGUUGAUUACAAAUAAACCUAUAAUUGUGCAUAUCAAUGGCAUAGUGUUGUAGAGAUUUGGGGCCAUGACCCCUAAAAUAGUAAAAUUUUAAUUUAGAGUCAUUAUAAUUUAUAAAAUUUUAAAUUAUUAAUGAUAAAAUUAUACUUUAACCUUAAAAAUAAUAAAAAAUUAAUUUAACCCUUUAAAAAUUAUAAAAAUAUAAAUUAUUAAAGUGAUAAAAUUUUAUUUUUACUAUCAUAAAAGUAUGUAAUUUAAUUCUACUAAAAAAAUUCAGGCUCCUCCACAAUGCCUAUGGAUAUGAUUAAUUCUGUUUUAUAUUUUAACUCUGCUUUUAGCAAAAGUUAAAAGAAUGAGAUUGAAAAAAAAGAAGAAGAAGAUAUAUUUUAUAAUGAAAGAAAACUCAGUAAAAUAAUAAUAAAGUUGUAAAAUAAUAUAUAUUAUCAAAGUUGUUGAUGUCCUAAUUGUUUUUAUGUAAAGAAAAAAAAGAACUAAUGAUAUUUUUGAACCCCCAAUAAAUAUUAUUUUUAUAUUAUUUACUUCCAUACAGAUAGUAGUGCCACUUGUAGUAUGGUUAAAAUAUCUUAAAUAUUUUGCUGUAAAUCAAUAUGAAAACUGAGUAAUGAAAAGUUAUAAAUAAAUAAAAUUCGGAGAAAAAGAAUAAUGUACCUUUAUGGUAGCUUUCUUAGCUUCUAAAUGAACAACCAAAUCAGUUAAUAGAGGGCAUCUUUUCACUGAAAAGGAUGAUAACGAUGUCAAGAACUGCUGGUGUUGGAGCAUACUGUCAUUUCCCACCCUGUCUUUGGCAACUCUGAACACUUGUUUUAAUUGAGGGCAAGCCUCUACGUUUAGAGUCAAACCCUGAAGCCCUUGUGGUGACAUCGACGUUGGAAAAAUAUACUCCAAACCAUAACAAUUAGAUAUGCUGACGUCUCCUAACUCUGGGAAGCACAAAGAAUUAUGAGAAGUGAUGGUCGAUGAUAUUUCUCCCUCGUCACCUUCCAAUUCAGUCACUAUUUGCUUCAUUUCAUCACAGUAGCUUACUUCAAGGCCUUUCAAUUGUACUAGACUUUGAGCAAGAGAGACUGAACAGAGUGAUUUCAAACGUGGGCACUUUUUUAUAGUCAAAACAACUAAGCUUUCAAGUCUUACAUGUUGGGUCGGAAAAAUAUAUUCCAAACCAUCACAAGUAGAUAUGUAGACCGUUGUUAACUUUGGGAAGGACAAAGAAGUAUGAGAAUUGAUGGUCGAUGAUAUUUCUCCCUCGUCACCUUCUAGUUCUGUCACUACUUGCUUCAAUUCAGGACAAUAGAUUAUCUCAAGUUUUUCCAAGAGUACGAGACUUUGAGCAAGCGAAUGUGAAAAGAGUGAUUUCAAACGUCGGCAGUGUAGUAUAGUCAAUUCAACUAAGCUUUCAAGUCUUACAUGUUGGGUUGGCAAUUCCCAUAUGCAACUCAAAUCUGGCAACCUUUGAAGACGUAAAAUCUUUAAAUUUGAAAGGAGUGGAGCUUCAUUUUCCUCCACCUCCUCCAUUUGAAAUACCACUUUUAGAUUCUUGUAGUAAUCAAUUCUCACUAGUUUUAGGUUUCGUAAGAUCAUUGAUACUGACACCUUUUGUUGUGUUUUAUUAGUCAAGCAUUCUACAUACUCAUCCUUGAUACGUGACACUUGAAGAGACUCUAAAUUCCCAAGUAAUUGGGAAACUGCAUUGUAAGGAAACACUCCCUCAAAUUUCAAGGAUCUUGCUACGUAAAAAGUAUGACCAAAACUGAACAUUUCUUCGUUACCAGAACAUAUACUAAAACAGCUUAUGCACAUUUUGUAUUUUUCUAAUUCAGGAAACUUGAAGUCUGGUGGAAAAUGUAGAAAAGAUACCUCAAUAGAUAGUCUCGUUAAUCGGGUCAAAAAUUUUAUCUCGAGAAAUAUAUCAUUACUUCCAUUUCCCAUAUUUAAUUCUGGUAGGUACAACUCCUCUAGCUGAGACAACCUUCGAAUGACUUCAGGUUGAAAUCUCCAAGGAAACCUACAAUUGAUUAGAUCCAAUAUCUUUAGAUUUUCUAACAUCCCUAAUUCUUAGAUUUUCUAACAUCCCUAAUUCAUCUGCCAAACCCUUGGAUGCCCAACCACCCAAACUCAGAAUCUCAAGUGUUGUUAGGUUUCCAAGGAAUGGAAAGUCCUCAAAAUAGUCCAAAUGCAGAGCACGAAGUUUUGGUAGGAACGUAAGAGCAUACAAGGAAAUAAACCGCGUAGCUGUAAGACUUAAAACUUUUAGUUCUCUCAUUCCUAGAAAACAUGUACCUUGUACAUCGCAGUUUUUAAGCAAUAGGAUCUCAAGCUUCGAAUACAUUAAUCUAUUAGGAAAUUUUUCCUUUACACUGCCCAACAAUGAGAUUGCUUCACUGAUUCAGAGUUUUUAUUUAGUAACUCUAAUCUAGAUUUGAUCAUAAAAUCACUUUCUUCUUCUGAUGCAAUCCAUAGAGCAACAUCACGAACUAUGUCAUGUAACUUAAUAUACCUAACCAAGCCAAAAUAAAAGAAGAUACAUUAAAUAAUAUUUUAUUAUUAUACAAUUUUUAGAAGAAUGAAAGAUAAAAGAAUCCAGAAAAAGGAACAAUAUGAAGAAAAAAAUUUAAUAAAAACAAAGAGGUGGAGGAAACUAUCAAAUUUAGUAUACAUCUUAAUCAAAAUUUACAUUAUAUAAAUUAGACUUAAUAUAAUAUUUGGUUCUUGACAUUUUCUCCAAACACUUUUUCUUAAUUUAGUAUCUAAAUUUUUUUUUUGGCUCAAUUUGGUAUUUAAACUUCACAAUAUUUCUUAACUUGGUACUUAGGCAUUUUUUGAUCCAAUUUAGAACGUGAACUUGAUACUUUUUUCUACUUUAGUAUCUAAACUUUUUUUAGGUUCAAUUUGGCAUCCUAACUUGUUAAAUGAUAUGCAAAUUACCCUUAAGCUACAAAAAUAUUGUUAGUAUUAGAGGAAAUUUGUGUUAAAAAUUAUGCAUUGAGCUAUACUUAAAAAAUUAAUAUUAAAUAAGUAAACGAUAGUUCUAAAAACCCAAAAUAAAAGAAAUUCAUUAUUUUAAAUUAAUAAAAUAAAAUAAAAAUGUUAAACUAAAAGUAAUUAAACAUUUAAAAUAUUAAAAAGAAAUUCGAUAUCACUUAUCACAUGUCGACCAUACAUCGAUUAUUUUUACUACCUCAUAAAAAAAUAUUAUUAGUAUAUUGAAGUAAGUUGUAUAAUAUUUGACAAGUUUAGGCACUGAAUCAAACAAAAAAAAAUUAGGUACCAAAUUAGAAAAAAGAGUAAAGUAUCAAAUUGAACCCCAGAAAAAGAUUAAGUACCAAAUUAAGAAAAAGUGUUAAGUUUAGGUGUCAAAUUAGGGAGAAAAUGUUAAAUUUAGGUACCAAAUUGGAAAAAAAAUUUAAAUACCAAAUUUAAAAAAAAAAGUCAAGUUCAAGUACCAAAAUUAAGCCUAUAAAUUAUUAAAUCAUGGAAUAUGUAAGGGAUUAAAAGAUAUAAAAAGCUACUUAGCUUCAAUGUUUUUGAGUAAGAUUUAUUGAAUGUAAGGCUAAAGUUAAAGUAGACCUAUGGGUUUAUGUUUUAUUUUAUCAUUAAAAUAUUUUUAAUAUUUUUAUUUAUUAAUAUUUUAAUGGGUAAUUAAUAUUAUUAUAAGAGUAUUUUUUUCUUGUUAUACUUUUAUAUACUCUUCAAAAUAAAAGUAUAAUAACUAAUAACAUCAUUUGAGAAUCAAACACGAUAAGUAAAUUUAUAUAAAAAUCUUUUACCUCUUCACCAAUAAUUAUUUACUAAAAUAAUUUUAUAAUAUAUUUUUAAAAUAAAAUAUUUUCAUUUAUCCACGGAGUGACAAAAUCCCAAUCAAGAAAGUGAUAAUUUGGACCAUAUAUAUAUAUAUAGCUUUGCCUUGGAAUUUAAGGAUCAUACCUUCCAAAAUCUCCACCUCGCUUAACAAACCUGAUGAAGCCAAAAUGAAAGUAAAUAGCAAUUUAUUAUUAUAAUACAAUUUUUAGGAGAUGAAAAUAUAAAGAAACUAGAAAAGGAACACUAGGAAGAAAAAGGAGGAGGAAAAUAUGAAAUUUAGCUAUAAUAUAUCUAUAUAUCUUAAUCAUAUUUUACAUCAUGAUAUGAAUAAUUAAAUCUUGGAAUGUGUUAGGGAUGAAAAGAAACAAAUGGCUAUUUCUUAGUGUUAGUCUUUACGAGUAAGAUUUAUUGAAUCUAAGGCUAAAGUUAAAUAAGACAUGUAGGUUUAUGUUUUAUCAUUAAAAUAUUUAAAUUUAUUAUAUGUUAAUAUUUUAAAGAAAAAUAUUUGAUACACAAUUUAUAAAUGUUUUAAAUUUUACAAAUAGGGUUAAGGGGCUGAUAAAAGUCCUAUAGAGAAUGACAAUUUGUUAAGGCUACUUGUUAAAGAAGAAAGUACAUUAAGAGUGUAACCUAUAUUUUAAUAAGUAAAAAAUAUUUCAAAUUAAAAUUUAAGAUGUAUAUAAUUUGUAAGGAAAUAAUAAUUUUUUUGUUCACAUUAAGAAUCUAAAAGUUUUUUAGUUUUUUAAGUUUGUGUACUUAACAAGAAAACUCUAUUUAGAAUUCUAAAUCUUGGUAUACCCAAGUACCAAUUAAUGAAAAGGGAUAAGUAUGUAUAGUUUGAAAAGGGAUCAUACCUUCCAACAUCUCCAUCUUCUAACAAGCAAGAAUCUUUGAGGUAAUCGAUGACUUCCAAGACUUGAAUUCUCAUUUCUUCAAUAGAGUUAGCCUUGUCAUAUAAGUUCAAACCCCAAGCAUAUUGCACCAAGUCUUCCACAUUAAUUGAGUCAUCUUCAGGAUAUAAUGCACAUAGUAAGAAACAUGUUUGGGACAUCUUGUCCUUCAAAUGUUCAUAACUGAUCUUAAGAGAAAUGUAGGCAUUUUUCUCUCUCUCUGUUUGAAUUUUGGAGUCUCCAUUAAUCCACUUCUUUCAAGUUUUUUUUGUGUGCAUCUUUCCACCUAUCAAGAGCUUUACCUUUUAAAGCCUUUGCUAGUUGUUGUGCAGAAGCGUGUGAAAGAGUAAAAUUAUUGUACUAAAAAAUCACACUAAGUUCAAUUCCCAGGAAAGAGAGGUGGAUCACGAUGAUCACUUAAGUACCAAGUCUUUCCUAGCCAGAAUAUCCCUCUAUCGUAAUUUAAUAGCACAAUAAAUCACUACAAUCACAUUCACAAAAUAUGAACAAUAAAUAGUAAAGAACACCAGAAUUUUAACGAGGUUCGGCAAAUCUUGCUUACCUCCUUGGGCACUACCAAAUAUAUUUCACUCCAAAACACAAGUGAAACUUUACAAAUAGGGAGAGAGAACAAUGCCUUAAGUAGAGAAUGGCAAAUGUGGGAUGAUGAGAAUGAGCAAUGGUUGGCUUAUUUAUAGUUGAGGUUUGAGGGCCACCUUGCAAAGUCCCUAUUCACUUAGGGACCAAAAAUUGCUAUUAUCCCAUGCCCAACACUAAAUAAAUAUUUGGUGCCCAUAACUUUGACCUUUCCAAGGUAUGGGUAGGUAUGGGAAAGGUAUGGGCAAGGUAUGGGGUAUAUUCUAAUAAUCUCCACCUUGAAGAUUUGAUUAGGAUAAUCUUAUCUUCACACAAUUCUUUCUGCCUUUGACAACAAUACUUGAUAGUGCCUUCUUCAACUGUUAAACUUGCAGGAUAUUGAUCAAGUUCAAACAAUAUUCGAACUUGGUUGCUGUUACCACCUUAGUCAUCAUAUCUGUUGGAUUAUCUGCAGUCUUGAUCUUCUGAAGACAAUAUUUUCCCCUCUUCAAUAAUUUCCCGCACAAAAUGGAAUCGUACGUCGAUAUGCUUUGUACGUGCAUGAUAGACUUGAUUCUUUAUUAAAUGAAUAGCACUUUGACUAUCACAAUACAUGUUAAUAUGCUCCUGAACCAACCCCAAGGUUUUAGCCAUACCUUGUAACCAAAUAGCCUCCUUUACAGCCUCUGUUAUAGCUAUGUACUCAGCUUCUGUGGUUGACAAUGCAACUGUAGACUGUAAUGUAGACUUCCAACUUAUUGGUCCUCCAGCAAGUGUAAACACAUAACCGGUGGUUGAUCUUCGCUUGUCCAAAUCACUGGCAUAGUCAGAAUCAACGUACCCAAUAACACAUUUACCAAGUGUAUUAUCCUGCUUGAACAGUAAUCCAACAUCUACGGUCUUCUGAAUAUACCGUAGAAUCCAUUUCACAGCUUGCCAAUGUCCUUUUCCAGGAUUAUGCAUAUACCUGCUCACUAUACUAACUGCCUGUGAAAUGUCGGGUCUUGUACACACCAUUGCAUACAUCAAGCUACCCACUGCAUUAGAAUACAGAACUUGCAACAUGUAUUCUCGUUCUGUAUUCGUCGAAGGAGAUAGUUGUGCAGAAAGCUUGAACUGAGAAGCCAACAGGGUACUUACAGGUUUUGUCUGCUCGUUCAUGCUAAACUGCUGUAGUACCUUCUUCAAAUACUGCUUCUGAGACAAGCUAACUCUAUCAUGAGCUCUAUCUCUCCAUAUUUCCAUGCCGAGAAUCUUUUUAGCUUCUCCUAGAUCUUUCAUCUUAAACUCGAGAUUGAGUUGAGUCUUCAAUCUUUCAAUCUCAACUUUGCUCUUAGAUGCUAUUAGCAUAUCAUCAACAUAUAAGAGCAAGUACAUGAAAGUUCCUUCUUGUAGCUUCUGAAAAUACACGCAAUGAUCAAAUUUACUUCUUGUGUACCUUUGCCCUUUCAUGAACUGAUCAAAUCGCUUGUACCACUGCCUCGGAGAUUGCUUCAAUCCAUAAAGCGACUUUGUCAGUUUGCAAACCCAAUUUUCUUUUCCAGCAACCUUGAAUCCAUCUGGCUGAGUCAUAUAGAUUUCCUCUUCCAAAUCACCGUGUAAAAACGCGGUCUUCACAUCAAGCUGAACUAGUUCAAGAUCAUAUUGCGCAACCAAGGCUAGCAAAAUCCGAAUAGACGAAUGCUUCACAACUGGAGAAAACACUUCAUUGUAGUCUAUUCAUUCUUUCUGAGCGUAACCCUUUGCUACUAAUCUAGCCUUGUAUCGAAUUUCAAUUUUACUAGGAAAUCCUUCCUUCUUUGUAUAUACCCAUUUGCAUCCAAUUGCCUUCUUUCCCUUGGUCUGUAUCACCAACUCCCAGGUCCUAUUUUUAUGAAGAGACUGCAUUUCUUCAUUCAUUGCUUGCUUUCACUUUACACCAUCAGGGUUACUUAUUGCUUCUGUGUAAGUAGAAGGAACAUCAUCAUCUGCAAUUAGAAGUGCAUAGGCCACUAUAUCAUCAAAGCGAGCAGGCUUACGAAUCUCUCUUCUUGGCCUCCUAUAUGCAAUUGAAUCUUGUUGCUGUAGAGGUUCUUGGGUAGGAACCUCUUCAUCAUUUGUCCCUCCAAUAUUAGCUGGAUCAUCGUUAACCUUUUCAAGCUCCACCUGCUGCAAAGUACUACUGGUUUUGUCAUCCUUUUGUGAAUCCUUGUACUUAAACAUGGUUGAUUCAUCAAAAUUCACAUCUCUACUGAAAACAAUCUUCCUUAUAUCAGGAGACCAGAGACGAUAUCCUUUUACUCCAUCAGUUAUUCCCAAGAAUAAUGUUUUCUUUGCUCUUGGGUCUAACUUAGAUUCUUUUACAUGAUAAUAUGCAAUGGAACCAAAUACAUGUAAAGAAUCAUAAUCAGUAGCAUAUUUACCAGUCCACAUCUCCAUAGGAGUUUUUCCAUUUAUUGCAGCUGAUGGCAAACGGUUAAUUAGAUGGCACGCAUAUGUAACUGCCUCAGCCCAAAAUUCCUUGCCCAAUCCAGCAUUGGACAACAUACAUCGAACUUUCUCCAGUAUAGUUCGAUUUAUGCGUUCUGCCACCCCAUUCUGCUGUGGUGUAUCCCGAAUAGUAAAGUGUCGCACAAUGCCCUCAUCUUGGCAUACUUGUAGAAAUGGAUUGUUUUUGUACUCAGUACCAUUAUCUGAUCGAAUUCGUUUGACCUUUCGACCAGUCUGAGUCUCCACCAUCUUCUUCCAUUUCAGAAAUGCAUCCAAAACUUCACUUUUUCUUUUCAUUAGAUACACCCAUACUUUUCUUGAAUAAUCAUCAACAAAAGUAACAAAAUAGUGCAUACCUCCCAAAGAAGCCACUUUGGUAAGCCCCCACACAUCACUGUGAACGUAGUCUAGAAUUCCUUUCAUAUUGUGAAUUGCUGGACCAAAUUUUACCCUCUUCUGCUUGCCCAGAACACAAUGUUCACAGAAUUCCAUUUUGCAAGAAUUUGCACCUUUCAACAAGCCUUGCUUCGCCAAUGUCUGCAAAGUUUUUUCACCAUCAUGUCCCAAUCGCAUAUGCCAUAAUCUGGUAGCCUCUGAAUCUAUAUCUUUUGUAGAAACUGUUGAUGUUGAUCCAAUAACUGUACUUCCGUUUAAAAAGUACAAGUUAUUUCUUCUUGUGCCUUUCAUCACCGUCAGUUGCCCAGCUACUACUUUUAGUAAUCCAUCUCUCAAAGUGAUUGUAAGCCCUUUAGAUUCUAGGACCCCUAAUGAGAUGAGAUUUUUCUUCAAGCUAGGUACGUAGCGAACAUCUGUCAAGACUUGGAUUGAGCCGUCAUGAUUCUUCAAUUGGACUGUACCCACUCCCAUUGUCUUACAAGCACUAUCAUUGUCCAUAAGAACAAUUUCACCUUCUAGCUCUUUAAGACUAGAAAACCAGUCCUUAUUAGGACACAUAUGGUAAGUACAUCCUGAAUUCAAAAUCCACUCAUCCGUUUGACAUGCCAUUGCCAUGCCAACCAAGCUAAAGUCUGACUCCUCAUCAUGCUCCACUACACAUGCAUUAGAAAUAACCUUGCCCUUUUGUAGCUUAGGACAAUUCUUUUUCCAAUGCCCUUUUUCACGAAAAAAGGCACAUUCAUCUUUGGCGGGUCUCCCUUUGGACUUUCCCCUUCUACCAGAUUUGCUACUGUGUGAACGACCUCUUACUGUUAAGACUUCUGCAGUUGUAUCUUUGUGAUCUCUUUUAUCUUUCUUUCGAGUCUCAGAUCUAUACAACGCACUACAGACUGCAUCAAAUGUGAUCGUGUCCUUUCCAUGAAGCAAUGUGGUGGUAAGAUGAUCAUAUUCAUCAGGAAGAGAAUUCAACAACAAUAAUGCAUUGUCUUCAUCUUCAAAUUUCUCAUCCAAAUUUAACAAGUCUGCUAAAAUUUUAUUGAAUGAGUUCACAUGGUCAUUCAUCGACAUACUGGGUGCAUACGUGAAUCGAUAAAGUUUCUUUGUAAUAUAAAGCCUAUUUUCAAGACUUUUCGUUAGAAACUUUUCUUCCAGUGUAUCCCAUAACUUCUUCGCUGAUGUCUCCCUCAUGACAGAGUACUUCUGCUCUUUGGCCAAACAUAGGCGGAUUGUAUCACACGUCUGUCUAUUGAUCUUGGCCCACUCCUUGUCAUCCAUCUUGUCACGCUUUUCUUCAAGGGCUAUAUCUAGCUCUUGCUGACAUAAGACAUCCAGGAUCUCACAUUGCCACAUACCAAAAUUAUUGGUACCGUCAAAUUUCUCUACUUCAAAUUUUGCAUUUGUCACAGUAGUCCUUGCUGAUGACGAUGCUGCUGCCAUUUUUCUCUCCAAUCCCAACUACUGUAUACGUGAAUAGUACCGUAUACGUAAAUAGUGUUGUAUACGUGAAUAUGACCGUAUACGUGAAUAGUAUCGUAAACAGUUGUAUUCUCCAAGUACAAAUCUGGCUCUGAUACCAAUUAUUAUGCGGAAGCGUGUGAAAGAGUAAAAUUAUUGUACUAAAAAAUCACACUAAGUUCAAUUCCCAGGAAAGAGAAGUGGAUCACGAGGAUCACUUAAGUACCAAGUCUUUCCUAGCCAGAAUAUCCCUCUAUCGUAAUUUAAUAGCACAAUAAAUCACUACAAUCACAUUCACAAAAUAUGAACAAUAAAUAGUAAAGAACACCAGAAUUUUAACGAGGUUCGGCAAAUCUUUCUUACGUCCUCGGGCACUACCAAAUAUAUUUCACUCCAAAACACAAGUGAAACUUUACAAAUAGGGAGAGAGAACAAUGCCUUAAGUAGAGAAUAGCAAAUGUGGGAUUAUGAGAAUGAGCAAUGGUUGGCCUAUUUAUAGUUGAGGUUCAAGGGCCACCUUGCAAAGUCCCUAUUCACUUAGGGACCAAAAAUUGCUAUUAUCCCAUGCCCAACACUAAAUAAAUAUUUGGUACCCAUAACUUUGACCUUUCCAAGGUAUGGGUAGGUAUGGGAAAGGUAUAGGCAAGGUAUAGGCAAGGUAUGGGGUAUAUUCUAAUACUAGUGUUACAAUGGCUAAAGGUAAGCCCUUGCAUUCUUUUGCAAUUUUCUUAGCCUCCCCAAUAACACGCGAAUCAGCUUUCUUGAGACCUGGAUUGAUUUCGAACAAAGUCCAUGCUUCAUCAUCUUCCAAAACCUUCACUUGAACUGUCUCCUCACAUUCUAUAUGUUGGCAAACAUUAUAGUUGCGUGUUGUCAAGAUGAUUUUGCAACCCUUUUCAUCUUUAACCAAUGGAAUACCUAUCUUUCUCAAAUUCCCAUCAUCAUUCCACUCCUUCCAUAGAUCAUUGAGGAUUACGAGAAACUUUCCAUUACUCAAUCUACUCCAUAACUCUGUUGCUUUGCCGCCUUCAGUGUUCUUCCCAAAUUUCAAGUCUAUGUCAUCUGAAUUUUUUUUUGUAUUUUUUCAAUGUCUAAAGUUUUGGACACAGUGACCAUUAUAACUCGAUCAAAUCCGUUGACUUCACCACCCACGUUUCUGACUAAGGUGGUUUUGCCCACCCCUCCCAUCCCCCACACCCCUAUUUUUUUUUACUUUAUCAUCCUUCAAUGCCUCCAUGAUCUUAUUGAAAGCAGCAUCAGAAGAUUUUAAAUCCACAUGAUCCUUAGAUGUGACCAAAUCUAAGUUAGGAAGCUUGGCACAAUGGCCGACUCGUUUAAAUUUAGAUUUUUUUACGAGAUCAGCUAUUUCCAAUGCUUUAUUCUCAAUCUCCUGACUUAAUUGGUAUCGCCAACACCAAUUAGGACACAGACGGAAGCAUAUCUUAUUUUCUUCAAUUUUAGAGUCCAAAACUUUUACAUCCUUUAGGGCAUUUUCUGCCUUCGUCAGCCAUUCAUCUACUUGGUCGUAGAUCACUUAAGUUCGAAUCUGCAAUUUAGCCUCCUCAACGUCUUCUUUCACUAGAGUUUCUUUUGCAGCCAAAUCUUGUUGGUUUUGGUGCAGCUCUUGAACAAUCUUAUGAAAACGAAAUAAGUAACGAAUACGACGUUCGAUUGGCUUCACUAAAUAGUCUACCAACAAUGGUGCCACCAAACCAGAAGCAGCACUGAGACCCCACUCCGAACCCAUUGUUGUUAAUCUGAAUUCACAUAACAAAUCUGCUAAGCCUAAGCAAAAUGGUAGAGAAUACAGUUGAGAAUAGUUAUGAAAAUGUUGAGAGUUACCCCUUAAGAUUAUGAUGAAGAUAUAUUAUAAUGUGAUGUUUAGAAGGAGCGCUCCUUGCUUCAAAGAAAAUGCUCCAAUUCUAAAUCUGAAACCAGAGUCGUUGAGGCUGUGAGCAAAAGUAUAACAGAUAUUAUUACUCCAAAGAAACAAAGUAUGACAGAUAUUUGUUAUGAAGUGCUAAUAACUAUUGUUCUUGAUAUAUAUUGAUGGUCAUAUUUUAUUAUUUAAUUUAACUAUACUUUAUAUGAUUCUUAAAAUUUUAUAUUUUUAAAUAAUGUUUGCCACAUAUUGUAAUUUCAGGCUGCCAUUUCACAUUGUGUUAUUGGCUUUUAGAGCAAAAUCGUCAAAAAUUUGACCAAAUUAAUCAAGUUCUUAAAAACAAUAUCCUAAUUGAAAUCAUUAAUCAAUUUGGGUUUUUUUAAACUAAAUUACAUUAGUAGUCACCCAAUUAUUAGUAAAUUUUUUUUAGUCAUCCAACUAUGAAAAGUUACAAAAUGGUCUUUUCAAUCACCAACUAGCUAAUGGUGGCAUCUUUUAAAAUUGACAUAAUAGUAAAUUUAAUCCUUAACAUUUAUAAAUUAUGUCAAUCUAGUCUUAGUUCUAAAAAAUUGAACUCUCAACAUUUACACAUUGUGUAAUUUGGACUCCUUUUUUUUUCAUUUUUUCUUUUCUUUAUGAUAUUGAGGGUUAAUUUUAAAAGAAUGAGAAAAUAUGAAAAUUAUUAUCUUAGAUUUUUGGGUAUUUUCAUUUUUUGUAUAUUUUCAAUCAAAUGUAGCUGAUAAAUUUAUUUAUUUUUAACAUUUUAGGUGAAAAGCAAAACUGCAAACAAAAAAGGACCAAUUUACAGAAUGUGUAAAUAUUGAGGAUUAACUUUUUUUUUAGAAUCAAGAUUGAAUUGGCAUAAUUUAUAAAUGUUGAAGAUUCAAGUUGCUAUUAUGUCAAUUUUAAAAGUUGUCACCAUUAACCAGCUAGUGACCCAAAAAAAGACAUAAUUGAAUAGUUUGAUGGCUAUUUUGUAACUUUUCAUAGUUGGUGACUAAAAAAAAAUUUCUAUUUUUAUUACUUUUUAUAGUUAAGUGAUUAAAAAGGAAAUUUACUAAGAAUUGGUGAGUAGUAUUAAUUGGGUAAGAAAAGGGAUAAAUCCAUAAUUAAUUCGUUUGGAAAAUGAUAAAUUAAUUAUGUUUUACUCCUUUGAAAGUAAAUACAAACUUACCACUACUACAAUACUUUAGAUGUUUCCUUUCUACGUCUGUCUUAAUAGCCAAUUGCUCCAUAUCUAACCUUAAUUAUUAAAGUAGGACUAGAUUUAUAGGUACAACUGAGUUAUUCUGAGGGGAAAAAGUUACAUAAUUAAAGAUAAAUGAUUUAAUAUUUAUUUUAAUCUCUAAACUAUUACUUUUCUCAUUUUGAUACAUAAAAUAUUCUUAGUACUUAAUUAGUCCAAAGCCUCACGUGGCAAAUUCAAAUAUAUUAUAUAAUUUUAAAAUUAAAAUUAAUUACUUUAAUAUAUUUAUUUUAAAAUUAUCUAUUUGUCUCAUUAAAUAAUUUCAUUAAACAUCAAAAUUAUAGACAAUAAGUGAAAGACUUCCUCGGUGGGCAUAGCUAGCAGUUGGCCACACUUUAAAAUGCCUAAUAUGGUAACCGAACUAUCAAUUUGUGUAUUAUUCGAUACCUGUAUAUUCAUAAAAUGUACAAUGUAAUAUUUAUACUUUGAAAAUAUUUACUAUGGUACCUAAUAUAUUAAUUUGUGUAUUAUUAUAGUACUUAAAGUUAAAACCCUUAGCAAAUUCUAAACUAACUAAUGAGAAUUCAAUACAUAAUUUUUUUUCUAAAUCACCAUUCUACGUAAAUGAUACAACAUUAUGUGACAAAAAUAAAUAAAACAAAAAGUAAAUAACUAAACCUAAACAACAUAAGUUCAACUUUACAAAAAUCAUCACACUUUAACUUAAAAUUUCUUCAAUUUUUUAAAUACCCUUGAAUUUUCCAAAUAUUUUCAAAAUUUAUACAAGCCAAAAUAUCUCAAAAAUUAUGUCUCUUACUUCUUAUUGAACUUGAAUGAGAGGUUGAAUAACUUGAUUUCCACUACUAUUUCAUUAUUUAUUUAUUUAUUUAUCUCUUCAUGUAAUAUUAUAUUAUCCAUGUGAAAUUGAUGAUUUGGAAAAAAACCAUGUGUUAAAUUUUUAUUGGUUGGUUUAGUAAUUACUAUGGAUAUUGAGUCCAAGUACCAUAAUAGUAUACAAAUUAAUAGUUUAGGUACCACUUUAAUAAACAAAAAUAAAGUACAGGGGCUUAAUUGGACAUUUUGAAAGUUUAGGGCCACACUAGAACAAACCCUAAAGUAUAAGGGCCUUUGAUGCGAUUAUCCCUUUUUUGAAUUUAAUACUAUCUCGACAUCAUUUUUGCAUAUAAUUCUUAUUUUGGUUAUGGAUGGUUUAAAGGAUCUCAAGUGAGGCUUUGAUAGAUUAUUUAUAUUUUAUUUAUUAAAGCUAAAUGUGAUUAAACUGGAAAUAUGAUCCAACAAAUAAGGAAUUGAGUUUAAUGGCUAAAACAAAAGCAGUACUAAUGAGAAUAAGGAAGAGGUUCGUGUCUCCAUACUUACCUCCAUUGCGUUCAAUCAUCAGUCUUCAUGAGCCGCUGUUAUUUCAAGUAAAAGCUGGUUUAUUUUUUAUUUUUGUUUUUGGAAAAAAAGAGACACCACUGUAGACGAAGAAAUUAAUGAGAGUUCUUUUUUUUUAAAGUCGAAAUGAAGAAGAAUAAAAUUAAGAAGCAGUUUGUUUUUUGGGGGGCAAAUAAAAGAAAAGAAAAGAAAAUGGGAGUGGGAGUGGAGAAAAAGAAAAUAGAAGGUAGCUUCUUCCUUUUCCUGUUAAGAGGAGGAGACUGGUGUUAGCAUAACUAAUAAAAGUUAGUUAGUCUGUUAUUAGUUAUUCUGUUAAUAACAGAUUACCUGCAUUAGCUGUUAGUAGUUGGCUUGCAUGGCCUGUAUGUUUAUAGUAUAUAAUAGUUUGUAUUCACUCUGCUCAAGGGCAGAAAUUAAUGAUACUCUCUAUUGUCAUACUUCUUUGUUUAGUUUAACAACUGGAAAUCAAACUAAAGAAGAUGAAAAUAGAGGAAACACCAGAUUUUAAUUUUUCGUGAAAGGAAAAAAGAUGGUGAGAACGGUUGCAAUGAGAAUCUUAAACAGAGAUGAGAAAAUGAAGAGCAAAGAUUAAUACAAAGGGCCCUCAAAUAGCUGGAUUCAAAUUGUAAUAUAUAUAUAUAUAUAUAUAUAUCAUGUGAUGUCUGAAAAUUAUUCCGAGAUAUCUAAAAAUUAUCUCAAUAUUCCUGAAAAUAUUUUAUAAGUUAGGGUUAGAGUUGACUAAAAAAAACAAAGAGGGUGAAGAGCUAUCGUCUAUGUGAAAUUUGUAGGAGCUUUCCUUUGACAAAUAUUUUCAUAUGAAUGGCAUUUUAAUCCUUUAUUCUAUUCUGCUAAUCACAUGGUUUCCUCUGAUUUUGAGAUUUCCCCUAAGUUUUAUAAUCAUUAAUCUCAUAAAAUAUGAGAUUUAUUAUAACAGACUUUAUAACGUGGGAAUAUUAUAUUAUUUAUCCAAUUUUUUUUCUGUGGGAAAAUAUUCGUAUUUUUUAAUAUACAUUUAAAAAAGUAUAAAAAAUAUUGUUUAUGAGUAUCACCGCCUAGAAGUAUAUAUUAAUUAGCCGGAUCUAACUAAAAUCAUAGGCCUCAUCAAUAUUUUUAGGCUCAGUUUGACCCAAAAAAUAAAUUUAAAUUUUUGUCUAUACUCAAUUCAAAUUAUAUAUGUUAAACUCUAACCGACCUAAUUCAUAUAGGCAAUGAGUAGGAAUGUCACCUUGUGGAAGAGAAUUUGCACAAACGAAGGCUAUUUACUUGAUUAUCUACAACUCUUUACUUGCUAUUUAUUUUUGAAAAAAAAACUAAAUUAAUCUGUAAUAAAUAUAAAAUACCGAAGGCUGUAACCUAAGGCAAAGUAGCCUGAUGCUAGAUUUAUUCAAAUACUGCUAUUGCAAGAACAAAAAAACAUAUGUUCAAUUAGGUAGACAAAAAAAAAUGCAGCUAUAUCUGAAAACAUGAUCCAUUUAUAGACACCUCUACUGUGGAUGCAGCAUUUAAAAUUUUCUAGAACAAAAUAUAUGAUCUGUGGAAGUAUGGUGUGUAUACCGAACAAACAAGUUGGACGGCGACCGCGAUAACUGAAGGCUGGAAAACAAAAAAAAAAAGUUCAAAAAUGGUAGAAAAGUUUGCGGUUGAGAAUGGACUCAAAGGAGACCCAACGGUUCAAGCUAUAUCAAACACCAUAAGGGUUGUUACCUUCGGGUUAUCUGUCAAGAAGCAACAGUGGUGGUUAGUGAACGAUGAUGGACUGGUGGGUGCAUGGUCGACCGGAGGUGAUUGGAGUGGUUUCCGAUGAUGGUGGUGGCCGGUGGGUGUUGGAGUGGGGGAGGGUGGCUAAGGAAAUCAGGAAAAUAAAAGAAAAAAAAAAGAAAUGACGACCUAUUUAGCCAUAUGAUCUGUGUCGACCGGGCCGGGCCCGGGCAAAAAUAUCAUAUAUAAGGCUCGGUUUGUUUUAAAAAUGAGUUUUAUUUUUGUCCAAAUCCUUUUUUUGAAUUUAUAUUUUUGUUUAAAUUCUCUCAUUUUUCAAGUAAGCCUUUGAAUCGGGUUCACUAUAAUUACACUAAACUACACAAUUAAAAUGAAAAGACAAAAAAUAAUAUAAUUUUUAGAUUUUUAAUUUGGUAACUACGUUCACUUUGUUAUAUAUAUAUAUUGAUGUUUAAAUUUGGCAACUAAAUCCAUUUAGGUUCUUAAAUUUAGAUUUAUCAAAAUUUGAUGAUAUGAUCAGUGUUAUUAGAAUAUGAUUGGUUGGAUGAACGAAGAAUUAAUUGAUAUAAUGAUUUGAACAAAAUGGUUGAAUUGAUUGACUCAUAAAUUUCUUGGAUUUGGUAAAAAUUAAAUACUAAAACAAAAAUCGACAAUCGAAUAGGUUGAACUGAUAUAAUAUUUCUUUUUUAAAUUUUUAUGAAAUUUUAAUUAUUUAUUUUAUUAAUGUUGGUACGACUAUUAACCUAGUUGAAUAAGGAACCGGUGGUCUAACCUAUUCAAUUACUGACCCGAUUAUCAAAACACUAAACAUGACACUUUAAUACUGUACCACAUCAUUAUUUUGAAAAUUUAUAUAAUUUUUUUUUUAUUUUCAGAUGAUAAUGUGGCACAAUUUUUAGACGGUCACGUCACAAUUUUCAAGUUUCAAAUGAUGUGACAAUUUAUUUGGUUGGCUUUAAAACAAAGACUUCUUACAAACUUUGAAAGGGUUCGGAGGGGGAUUGGACAAGACAAAUUGUGUCACCUGUGUGGCGAUGGAAUCGAGGAUGCAUUACAUGUUGUUAGAGACUACCCAUCUGUGAAGGAUAUCUAGAACCAUGUUCUCCCUCCCAAUCAUAAGAGACGAUUCUUCUACGGUAGAAUAUCGAACUGGAUGCUUCCAAUUCUGAAGGAUCAGUCUAAUCUCAAUUUGAGAGAAUUAUAAUGGGCAUGUUUCUUCAGGAUAUUAAUUUCGCGUAUUUGGAAAAAUCAGAAUUUGAUCAUUUUCCAAGGCAAGCCAAUGAAUCUAGAUGAAAUUAUUAAGGUGUCUUACAGCUGGACAAAUCAAUACUCUUCAGUGCAUAAAAAAGCCUUGUCAUCGGGAUCGUAGUGUCAGUCUGAACAAAUGACUUCAUGUAUGAAUGCUGAUGGAGCUGUCCAGUCUGUUUCAGGUUUCUCUAGUGCAGGUGGAGUCCUUGGAGCUACAAUCAAUUUUUGGGAAAUUGUUUAGUUGUUGUUGUGAAAUUUUGGGACAUUUUAAAUGAUAUACUUCUAAUCCAAAAAUAAGGUUAUGAUGAGGUUAUCAUCUAUGUGGAUAAUCUUGAAACGGUUAAAAUUAUUAGUGAUACUAAACUUGAAGGUUCAAAUUCUAUUUUGAUUAAAUGAAUUUAACAAUUAUUUUUAAACAAAGAGAAGUGAUUUUUGAAAUAUGUUACUCGAGAGUUUAAUAACACAGAUGAUGCAAAAACUAAAAUGGCUUGCCUGAAUUCUGAAAACGUUUUAUGAGUUAGGGUUGGAGUUGACUAAAAAAAAUAAAGAGGGUGAAGAGCUGUCGUCUAUGUGAAAUUUGUAGGAACUUUCCUUUGACAAAUAUUUUCAUAUGAAUGGCAUUUUAAUCCUUUUAUUCUAUUCUGCUAAUCACAUGGUUUCCUCUGAUUAUGGGAUUUCCCACUAAGUUUUAUAAUCAUUAAUCUAAUAUUUUAUAAGAUUUAUUAUAACAAACUUUAUAACGUGGGAAUAUUAUAUUAUUCAUACAAUUUUUCUGACUUGGGAAAUUGUUCGUAUUUUCGAAUAUACAUUUAAAAAAAUAUAAAAAUAAUAUUUUUAUAGGUAUCACCAUGUAGAAGUAUUCAUGAACUGAAUCCAACUAAAAUUUUAGACCCGAUCAAUAGUUCUAGGCUCAAUUCAACCUAAAAAAUAAGUUUAAAUUUUUGUCUACACCCAAUCCAAAUUAUAUAUGCUAAACCCGAGCCUGACAUAAUCCAUAUAGACAAUCAGCAGCCAACAGGAAUGUCACUUUGAGGAAGAGAAUUUGCACAAAGGAAGAAUAGCUUAAGAAUAAUUACUUGAUGAUCUACAGCUCUUUACUUGCUAUUAAAAAAAAAACUAAAUUAAUCUGCUAUAAAUAUAAAAAAUGGAAGGCUGUAACCUAAGGCAAAGUAGCCUGAUGCUAGAUUUCUUCAAAUACUGCUAUUGCAAGAACAAAAAGGUUCAAUAACAUUUUUGGGUCCGAUUGAAAACAAAGCGAACAAGAGAUAGAACCUUCCAUAGUCAGGAAUUCCACAUCCAGUGCUAAUUCCCGCUCUACUCAAUACCACAACCUUGGUGCUGCAACAUACAAAUAGCAGUCAAAUAUUUAACCCAUUAGAAUACAUUUACAUCGUCAAAUAUUUAACCCAUUGGAAUACAUUUACUUCGUUUAUUGUGUGGGUACAACUACAACAGGAGCAAUAUGCAAAGCCAAGGACAAGAAUAACCUUUGGUCAGUGAGUUGAUACAAGUGCUUUACGUCUUCAGCACUCGGAGGAUCUGCUUGGGGAACCACCUUUUUGUCUGAAGGUGAACAAAUGAACAAAUGAAUAUUUUUAAAUGUAAUAACUUAAUUAAGUUUAUUUAAUAAUAGAUAACAAAAUAAUUUCCAUCUCAACAAAGUAAAAGAAAGAAAUUAGUGACAGUCAACAAAAAAAAAAAGACCACGAAUGUGGCAAAAACAUUAUAGAGAAGUUAGAUUUAACUGUCACAUCAUAACCAUAGUUAAUUUUUAACAGUUAAUAUUGGUUAAAGAAUUUAUUUGACUAAUUUUUUUGUUCAAAGAUUUAAUUGGAUCUAAAAAAUUUGAAAAGACUUAAUUUUUUUAAAAAGUUGCCUUCGGUUUAUCAAAUAAUACCUUACUCUUCUUCAUUGAUAUGGGUAUAUGAUAUUUUUGGGUUUCCUUUAUAUUUUUCCACUCCUCCAUCAUUGGUGAAAAUGCGACGUGCAAUAUGUACAUUGGCAAAUUAAUGGACCUAACCCUAGAAAAUUGUAGGAAACACCCUCUCCAAUCACCUUUCAAUCUCUCAAAAAAGAGCUAAAAGGCAACAAAGUUCAUCAUUCUUUGGACAGAAAAUUUAUUCAUUUCAAUCCCAAAAAGAAAGGGAAAAAAGGGACUGAUAAUGAAAAAUGAAGCAAAAUGAUAGCAAGUGCUCCUCUAUGUCUACCCCAAAUUGCUAGUACCUCUACUUAUUGCAAGUAACUUUGUUCUACAAAUAAAUCUCCCUACACUUAAGUUUUCCAUUAAUACUUUUUUUUUUUUUACUUACAAUCCAUUUGGUAGGAAAAAGUUGAAAUGUAAUGGUGGCAUUACAUUAUAACAUUGGGUUGAAGCCCAGUAAUCCUUAUCUCUUCCCUAAUUAUUGAAUGCAUAUAUUCGCAUGCAUAAAAUGGUAGGCAAAACCUAGCUAUGCCUGUUUUUAGUUUUCUUUUGUUUAUUGCACACUUCUUUUGAACAAGGAAAAGGAAGAAACCGACCGAAAGAAGGGAAGUGAAAAGAUAAAAAAAAAACCUUUUAAUUUGCUUUUAAUAUAAGUUACACAUGACCUGAAGUUAAAAUGAGACAGUUUUUUAUUUUACAAGUUUAAAAAAAUCAUGAGAUAAAUAGGGAAAAAAACUUUUUUUAUCUCACAUAUUUGAAAUUUUAAAAAAAUUUGUUUAAAACCAUUUUUGGUACAUGUUAUAAUUAGGGAGGGGAUGAUAACAAUCAAAUUUAAAUCCAACUCUCUGGAUAUAGACAAAGGUUUAACCAUUGCUCUCUUAUGUCGUUGGUACUUUUGUAUAGGUUUAAAUGUGCUCUAAGUUUUUGUAUACUUUUUUUGCAUUUAGAAUUUAAUUCUCCUACUUUUAUUUCAUGGAGUUUAGUUUAUUUAUUUUUUUAAAUUUAAAAAUAUCAACCCAACUCUUAACAUUAUUAAAUAUGCUCUUAAAUUCAAAUUUAUAACAAUAUUUUCUUUACUACAUGGACACCAAGUGAGUACUUUUUAAUUUUAAAUGUCACACUAGCAAAUUUGACAUAAAAAUUUUAAAACGGCAUUAACAAUUGGACUUAAAUUUAAAUUUUGAAAAUAUACGAACAAUAUUCUUGAAAAUAAAAAUAAAAAACAAAAUUCCAAUUUUAUAAAGAAUACUACAAGGUACAAAAUUUAACUUUUUUUAAUAUAUAAUUAUAACUUAAAAAUUAAAAUGGGACUAAAUUUCAAGUGAAACAAAAAGAAAUUGAUAAGAAAAUGAGAAAUGGAUUUGGAGGAUAAAUAGAGGAAUGUUGACGUGGAAAAUUGAUUGAAGUCAAGUAACAAAAUCCGGAAAUCCAUGUCCCCAUGCCAAACAUGUUUAGAUGAUUGAAUCUGCAAUAAUAAGCUACAUUGGAAACAGUGUAUGAAAUAGAUUCUACACCAAUCCCAUCCCAUCCCCUCUUUCUAUUUCUCAUGUCUGCAUGUCUCUCUCCUUUCAAUGCUACGUUGAAAAUACGGGGUGAGGUGAAAACCCUCAUCCUUUUUACUUCUAAUCCCUGUUGAAUUCUUAGGGCACGUUUGGUUCGCUGUAUUGGAUUAGAGGUGUAUUGGAUUAGAGGUGUAAUGGAAUAGAUGUGUAAUAGCAAAUCAACUGUUUGGUUGAAUGUAAUGGAAUAGAGGCGUAAUAGUAAAACUGUGUUUGGUUGAAUGUAAUAGAGGUGUAAUAGCAUAAUGGAGAAAACUAAAAUGACCAGAAUACCCUUAGCAUAAAUUUGUUUUGGUAAAUGAUUAUUGUUAUUGUUAUUUAAAUUUUAAUAAGAAUAUUUAUUAUCAAAAAUAAAUAAUUUAAUCAUAUUUAAACAUAAUUAUUAUUUAAUAUAUUUUAAUUAAAAUAUAUAAUUUAAUAAAAUUCUUAAUAAUUAGCAGAAAUUUGUUUUGGUAAAUUAUUUUAUUUAAAUUUUAAUAAGAUUAUUAAUAUCAAUAAUAAAUAAUUUAAUCAUAUUUAAACAUAAUUAUUAUUAAAUAUAUUUUAAUUAAAAUAUAUAAUUUAAUAAAAUUCUUAAUAAUUAAUAUUCUUAUAUGAAUUUACUCAAAUCAUAAUAUAUGAUACUGUAAAAUAUAAAUUAAAAUAAUAAUUAUUAAAUAUAUUAUAAUUAAAAUAUAUAAUUUAAUAAAAUUCUUAAUAAUUAAUAGUCUUAUAUGAAUUUACUCAAAUCAUAAUAUAUGAUACUAUAAAAGAAAAUUUGAAAUAAUUAAUAUUAAUAUAUUUUAAUUAAAAUAUAUGAUUUAAUAAAAUUUAAAAUAAUUAUAACUAAUAAAUUAUAUUUUAUGAAUUUGUAUAAUUUAAAAUAAUAAUUAUUACAUAUAAUUUAAUUAUUACAUAUAAAAUUAGUUUAAUUAAGGUAACCUAAGUUUAAAACAAAUAAAAUAAAGAAUAAGGAUUUGGUUUAGUGUAUUAAGUAUAUCUAUUUUGUUGACAAAUCUAAACUAAGCUUUUUCUAAUGACUAGAUCGAAAGGGUGAAGAACCCCAAUAAACAAGAACAAGUAUAACUAUUGUUUUCUAUGUCACUUUGAUCUUCUAAUGUAAUCCUAUAACUAGGAAGAACCGCAUAUAAUUGGUCGGAUUGCGGCUUUGAGAUCAUCGUAAAAUCUUUGCUCCGAAAAUCUGCUAGCUCUUCUCCUUGCUGCUGUAGCUAUCUUGAGUCUUUCAGACUCGGGCAUCUUCACGAUUUUCAGGACUGCAUCUGCAUAUUCUUCUACAUUUUGAGCAAGAAAUCCUGUUUGUGUCCAUCUUCAUCUAAAACAAUGUCCAUUUUCGGGCCAGCAGAAUUAUGAGCUGAGGGGAGUCGAGCAAAAUGAAUAUCAUUUUAAAAACAUUUUUAAAAUGGAAAACAAAAGUAGCUCGAAUCAGAAAUUAUAAUAUCAGUUGCCAUGCUAGCUCACCUAUAGGUAUGGCUCCUGCAGCCAUGUACUCUACAACACUAAUGCAAACUGUAAACUGGUAAGAAAUCACAGCCAUGUACUCCUGCAGCCAUGUACUCCUGCAGCUCCUGAGUUAAAAAAAAUCAAACUGUAAAGAGUUUCUAGAACUAAUCAAGGUUCCAAAACUGAAACACCGGAACCAUUAAAAAUUUAGCUUGAAGGUCUAUGUAAGUAUGUGCACCUUCUCGGGACGAAAUUGUGCAACAGAUAUGAUUUUUGGAGUUUCCACCGACCUUUCCAAAGGAAGUGCCUGUUUCAGAUGUAAACUGGUAAGAAAUCACAGAUGAAUGACACUAAAAAAUAUAAAAUGCACUAUGAUUGGUGAUGAAUAACAAGAAACAGAACCUAAAGUCCUGAAGUAUCACAAGGUGGAUAAACUCGCUUAAUGCAGUUAGGAAUACCCCAAAGCUUCUCGAUGUGAGACUGAGUCCAUGAAGAGUUGACCAUUACAAGAUGUGCACAAGAUCCCACCAUUACAAAAUGUGUUUGGAAGGACUUGUUAAAUUGACUUGUUGUAUAUACUUGUUGGCAUAAAUUGUGAGACAAAAAUGUAUGAACAAAUCCAAGAACAAUACUCAGUCUUAAUGUUCCCCAAACCCCUAAUUCAUAUAUAGAUCUAAGCUAUUAGGGGGAAAUCCUAGUCUUACAAUGUUUGUGGCAUUUUUUUCAGAUACAUAACCAUCCUUGUCGAGCAUGAUUGCAUCAUUGGCAUUCGCAUUAUUCCCUUCUAUCUGCAUUGGACCACACAAAUCAUUUUUUUCCCAAGAGAUAGUUUAACAAAAAUGCAUAUCUGGCAUUAGUCUGAGAAACAUAAUCUCCACCAUAACACAGGAAAAUAUACAGGUCAUAUCAUCCAUCAUGGUUUACACCCUUAACCCAAACAAACAAAAAUAUCCAAGCCUAGAGAGAAAGGUCUACUGAAGUUUUCAGGUAAGAAAAUCAGAAACUAAAUACAGUUGUUAUCUUGCGAAAUUUGAUUAAUCAGUUGAUGAUACUGUCAGAAGCAUUUAAAGAUAGUAAGCCGUCAAAUUGAGAACAAUACUUGCUCGAAUAGCAUGAAAGAAUGAAAACAACAUUCAAAUCAUAGAUCAGAUAUUAGAACAUCAUCUACUCUCAGCUUUAUCGUAAAAUCAAAUGAAAGUCCUGCAUUGGACAACCUUUGCCAGUAUGUUAUUAGAACAUAUUUUUUAUGCUUCAUGAUUAAAGAUUUUGCGUGAUCAUUCAUACACAACAAUCAGUGUUCAUUUAUCAGUGGGUUUGUAAUUUGUUUACUACUCUUUGUUUAACACAACUUGCAUGGCAGAUAGGUAAGACCAAAGUUUUCCUUAGAGCUGGGGUUUAUUGAGAAGGAAAAAGAUUGGGGAUGGAGAAAUGCAUUUUUAUUGUAUUUAACAGUAGAGAAGCACCGCAUUGCACAAUUUCUUAAGGGUGGGGGUGUCGGAUUUUCUUUUAAACAGAAAUUAUUUCGAUAGAACAGAUUUCAUAACUCACAUCCUAUUAUUAGCCCAAUAUAUACAUAUUACUGCUCAUAAUAUCUCCAACUUUAUCAUGAUUAUUCAAUUAAAUUUUUUUUAAAAAUAAACAAUCGAUUCAACUAUCAGAAAUAAACAACCGAUGCUUCUCAUGCAAUGAAGAUGAUGAUUUAUAACCCUCUCUAAUCAUGCUUCAGAAAAGACAAGCAAAUCAGCAUGCAAAGCACCCACAAUCCAAGGCAAAGACAGAAAGCUAAAAUGAAAAGUUCAUCCAUACCUCACGCCAAGAUCGAGAGAACCUAAUGAAGCAGUGGCUUUCAAACGUGCUGCAACAAAUGAAAGGGAAAAAACGAUCGACAGAGAAAAUCGAUAAAGGCAGACGAGGAGAAAUUAUGAGGACAGAAGAGGAGAGGGUCGGGUAGGGAGGGAGGGUAAAACAGAGAGUUGGGAAGGGAAGCCGGACGUAAUGUGUAAUACGCGAUUUGAGAAGGGAUUAGAAAAGCAGGGAAUUUGGGGAUUAGGUCAGGAUUGUAUUACGCGCGUAAUACCUAUUACAGUGAACCAAACGCCGGAAUAGGAGCGUAAUGUAAUAGGCGCGUAAUCAGGGCGUAAUGGAUUAGCUAAUACACUGAACCAAACACAAUUUAGGUAUAAUGAUUUUUAUCCAACUCUAAUUUUAUAAAAAAAUUUAUUUUAGUCAUUCAUUUAAAUUUGUGUCUCAUUUAAUUUUUAAAUUUAUAUUUUUGUCAAAUCACUUUAAAAUAAAAGGAAAAAUUAAUGUUUUUUAACUUUACUGACAUGGUAUACAUGUGGAUUGUUACGUGGAUAGCAUGUCAGCAUUAAAUUAAUUUUUUAAAUACUAAAACAUUUAAAAAAUAUUUUUUAAAUAUUUUUAUACUUUUUAAUAAUUUUAAUUUCUAAAUUAUUUUUUUGCAUUUAAAAAAAAUUAAAAAUUAAUUAAAUGCUAAUGUGUCAUUCAUAUGGCAAUCCACAUGUAUGCCACAUUAACAAAGUUAAAAAACGUUAAAUUUUCAUCCAUUUUGAGGUAAUUUGACAAAAAACAUAAGUUUAAGAACUAAAACAUACAAAAAAAUUAAAUGUAGGACUAAAAUAAUUUUUUUUAUAAAGUCUAAGGGCCAAAUAAAUCGUUAUGCUUUAGAUUUAUUGAAACAAGUUUUUCAAGAGUUGAAAACAUACACGUAUGAGUGAGUGAAAAUAAUUAUCUAUAUUAAUAUGAAAAUUAAUUAUAUCUUGAGUUGAGAUGGUAAAAUUAACCCUAAAACAUAAAAGAUAAAAAUAUCUCUCUAACAAUAUUCAAUCAUUUAUAAAAUUGAAAGGUUUUUAGUGAAUUCACAAGUGAGUUGGGACUUAGUUGACGAUGAUACCAACUCAGUCACAACUUCAAAUAUUAACUAGAAAUUCUUACACGUAUAUAUUUAUGGAAACCACAUAUUUAGAACACUGAGGUGUGUUUAAAAAUAACAUACAAUAAAUAAGGAAACAUAUGUUUUAUAAUAGCAAAUGAAAUAUGUAUGAUGUUAAAAUAAAAAAGAGAGAGAGAGAGAUUAAAUUGCAAAUAAAACGAAAUUUUAACUCAUAAGUACAUCAUAUUAAGAAUACUAAACAAAUACAAUUCUUUUUCAUGGAGUUGUCACACUACACCAAAACAGACUUUUAGCGGCGUUUUAAAAGAAAACGCCGGAAAAAAUCAAAUAGAUGGAGUUUUAGCAGCGUUUUUAAAAAAACGCCGCAAUAGAUCGAGCUUUAGUGGCGUUUUUGAAAAAGCACCGCUAAAGGUCGACUUUUAGCGGCGUUUUACUAAAACGCCGCUAAAAGUUUAAGCAAGACGACGUCGUUUUACAUGAGCUUCAUUGGCAGUAGCGGCGUUUUCCCAAAAACGCCGUAACAGAUCAAACUUUAGUGGCGUUUUUAAAAAAAACGCAGCUAGAGGUCCGCCUUUUGCGGCGUUUUUGGAAAAAACACCGCUAAAAUGUUAAACAAAACGACGUCGUUUUAUAUGAGCUUCAAUGACAUUAGCGGCGCUUUCCUAAAAACGCCGCAAUAGCUCGCACUUUAGUGGCAUUUUUCUAAAAAAUGCCGCUAUAGGUCGCAUAAUUAGUGGCGUUUUUUUGUAAACGCCGUUAAUAGGUUAAGGCAAACGACGUCAUUUUAAAUUAGCUUCAAUGGAAUUAGCGGCGCUUUACUUAAAACGCCGCAAUAUAUCAAUCUUUAACGGCGUCUUUACAAAAACGACGCUAAAACAUUAAGCAGACCUACGUCGUUUUGUUUGAACUUCAAUGGCAUUAGCGACGUUUCUCGAAAAACGCCGCUAGAGUUUAUGGGGCAGACACAUUUUCUUUCUUUAACAAAGUAAAACACAACAAAAUCAUUACAUUUUUGAGUUCUUUAUUACUUAAUAUUAGGUGUUUAUGGGUGCUAAAUAUAAUAUUUGUUUAAAUAUAAUAUCAUAUAUUUUAUAUUUGUUUGAAUUUAUUUUUAGUGGGGCUUAAAAUAUAGGUUUAACAUUUUGUUAAAGCCCACUAAUACUUGCAAAUGAUUAACCUAAGUCUAUUUUAAGUCCAAUCAUAUUAUAUUUUUAAUUUUUGUAAAAUUAUGUCAUUUUAAUUUAAUAUUUUUUUAUUUAUUUAAUUUCUCUAUAUAGUUAUCUUAAUAUUAUUUUAAUGUUUAUAUUAGACUACUAUAUAUUAUACAUUUAGUAUAAAUUUAUUUUUUAUAAAUUAUAAAAUUACAUAGUAUAUAUAUAAAAUAUUAUGAAGUUGAAAACGGAUUAGACCAAACUCAGGUAUUAAAUGUUUCAGUCUAACUUAUUUUUUAAAUGAAUUUAAAAUUUUCUAUUUAAACUUAUUUUUAAAUUUAACAUUUUAUAGGUUUAAGGGUUAUGAUCUAGGGUUGAUGAUUUAUGUUUUAUGAUUUAGGGUUUGAGGUUUUUAAUUUAAAAGGUUAUGGGUUUAGGGUUUAAGAGUUAGUGGUUAGUGGUUAGGAUUAAGGGAUAUAUAUGGGUUUAAGGUUUAUGGGUUAGGUGUUAGGGGUGUAUAUGGGUUAAGAGGAUAGAGGAUAGGGUUUAGUGUUUUAAAGUUUAUUAUUUAGGGUUUAUUAUUUAGGGUCUAAGAUAUUAAUGUUUAGCGAUAUUAAGGUUUAAGGGUUUAAGGUUUAUGGGUUAAGAGUUUAGAGGUUAAGGGUUAAUGGUUUAUGAAUUAUGUUUUAUGGUUUAGGGUUUAAGGGAUAGAUGUUGGGGUUAUGGGUUAUGGUUUAUGAUUUAUACUUUAGGGGUUAAUUAGGGCUUAGGGUCUAGGGUUUGGGGUUUGGGGUUUAUAGUUUAGGGUUUAUGGUAUAGGGUCAAGGUCUUAGCACUGUUCAAGGAUUUAGGGGUAAUGUUGUCAGGGUUUAAUGUUAUGGUUUUAGCUGGUAAGCAAUAAGAUUUUAUUUUUAGCGUUUUAGGAUUUUAGGGUUUAGGGUUAUAUUUAAUGUUUAGGGGUUAGCAGGUUUAAAAGUAUACAUAUUUAAUAUUUAAGGGGUAUACUGGGUUAUGGAGAUUUAGGGUUUUAGGGUUUAUGAUUUAGGGAUUGGGUUUUAUGGUUUAUGGCAUGGGGCUUAUGGUUUGGGGUUUGGGAUUGGGGUUUAGUGUUUAAUUUUGGAAUUAAAAACUUAAAAAGUUAAAAUUUAAUAUUUUAGUUACAAAGUUAAAUAAAAAAAUAUAAAAAAUGAUAAUCUCAGCAGGAAAAGUUGAAAUAAAAAGCAUAAAAAAAUAUAUGUUAAAAAUGAAAAAAAAAUUAAAAUUGUGAAUUAGUGGCGUUUUUUCAAAAACGCCACAAAAAAUGAGCUAUAGUGGCGUUUAUAAUAAAAAACGCCACUAAAAGUUGACCUAUACCGGCGUUUUAAAUAAAAACACCGCAAAUAUUUGAGUUUUAAUAGGUUAAACGGCGUUGUUUUUCUUUCAUUCUCUUUAUCCCCAAGUGAAGCCCCGAUACUUAGUAUUUUUUCCCAAAACAAAUUUUCCCCUAUACCCUCAGUUUCCCCAAAUCAAACCCUAAGUUGCUUUCUUCCAUAUUUCACCGAUUGAAGUCUUGAGCUUGGUGUUUCUUCUCAAUCGAUCUUCAUCCCCUUUUUUUAACUCUCUUUCUCUCUCAAAUCCUCGAUUCCACUUCACUCUCCAGAUCUCCCUAGGUAAUAUUCAAACCUUUCUUACGUUUUUUUUUCUAUUAUUCUUUAAAUUUAUCAUCUUUUCAGUCUGCACUUCUUUCUCGUUUGUAUUUCAUCUUAAAAUUUGAAAUUGUUGUAGAAAUUCAUUAUCAAUAAAAUGUCAAAAUUUAUGACUAUUUUAACACAGACCAAUCUGACGAGCCUUUAUUGUGCUGCUGAACAAUCUGCUUGUUGUCUACGGCAAUAUAAAUCGUAAGUGUUGCUUUAAAUCCUAAUUGAUGCGCAGUUAUUUGGUUUCUGAAGUUCUAUUAACACUCCUAAUCCUGUUACUUUCAUUUAUUUUCAUGGGGAGUGGUGGUUUUUUUUUCCUUCACUGGCAAACAGAAGGUCAGGUAACUUUAAUUUCUAAGUCUCUGUUUCUUUUAAUUUCUAAGUCUCUGUUUACAAAUACAAAUACAUAAGCUUAUGUUAAUUGUUGAACGUACGGCGUUCCAUAAAGGUUAGGCUGAUUGCAUGGUGCUCUAGGUUUCCUUGCUUAAAUAUUUUGUUUCUUUUAAUGGUAUUGAGCUUGGUCCUAUUUCUUCUCACAAUGGUCUUCAUUAGGGUGACCUGAUUUCAUUGUAUUGUUUAUUUUGUGCACAAAGGGCUUUAGCUAUUGGUUGCGAAAAGUUAGGAGUAGAGGCAAUUUGCAUGGUAUCAAUAUAGGAUGGAUUAGUAAUGAUUAAAUUAAUAAUAGAUUGAUGAGGAAAAUAUAGUUAUUUUCAUGUGAUCAUCCUUGGGGAAAUUAAUAAUUGUCUUUGUUGAUAUAUAUAUAUAAGGGGUAAGUUGGUGAUUAAGCUUAGAUAAAUUUAUUUCAUAUUAGUUGAAUUGAUUAUGGUAACAUUUGUUAUAAAAUAAUAAUACUUGAUUUUAUGGAAGGUAAAAAAACUUUGGUGAAUUAAAGUAUAUAUAUAUAUUACUUACUUGUGACUUGGUGAUUUAUUGAGUUAAAACUUAUCAUUAUAUUUAUAUUGUGCUCUCAUAAUUUGAUUUCAAUUAUGCUUUAAUAGACCGUUAAAAAUAAUCAAAUGAUAAUGGUGUUGAACAUAACUUAAGGUACAUAUAUACUUGACUACUUGAUUUCUAUUGAAAUAUGUCAAAAUAUGUAUACAUUUGUGACUGUGAAAAUCGUAUUAUAAUAAUGUUAUACUAUCUUAUUUAUAAUAUGUUAUGAAAAUUGUAUUAUAAUAUGCUUUUGUUAGAUAUGGAGCUAUAAAAUUUCUUUUUUUGAGUUUUAAUGCUUGAGUAAUGAAUAAGUAUGCAUGGUUAUAAGUAUUAAGCCAUUUAAUAAACUACACUAGGUUGAGUUCACUUGAUUGCUAAGUUGUCUGGAUAUUUUAUUACAUAAUUGUUUGUUAAACUGAUGCAUAUGAAAAUACUAUAAAAUUUGCUUAAUUUUGCAUAAAUUGAUUGGUGUUUGAAUGCAUUUAAAUGUUCAUUUUAGUUAAUAUCACAUUAGUGUUUUGUCAAAACAUAAUGAUUAUGUCUCGAGAUCCUAAGAACAAAAAUAAUCAAAUUGUACAUUUCUGGGUACAAGUCUCUAGACUUACCAAGCAAGCCUUAAGAUAAUCAUAAUCGGAGUCUUGAGACACAAAAGUUUGUGUCUCAAGACUGUAAAACAUCGAAACUAAAAUUAUUUUCGAUUUUUCAAAAAAUUGUACUAUCUUUGAAAUUACUACUGCUCUCAAUCAUGGAAGAUACUUGGGCUUACUGUUACUUACUAAGCAUAAUAUUAGAAGCUUUAAUUUUUUGUCUGAGUGUUCACUUUUUUCUUAGUCCAAAUCUUAGUCUACACAUUUGUAGGGUAAGUAGUUUCAGUCAUGGCUUUAUCUCGUCGUCUUUGCUUGCCAUUCUUAUGGUUUCUCCUCCUGUGCUUGCUUUUGCUGAUUCAUUUAAAUAUCAUCACUGUGAUGCCGCAAUAACACAAUCUAAACAGGUUUAGUUAACAAGAAUUUUAAUCAUCACUUUAUACAAGUAAAGACUAAUUUAAUAAUUUUUAUAAUUAAAAUUUGUUUAUUAUAAAAUUCUGUUGUUACGAUUGAAAAGUUCUUAGAUAUUAUUAUUUAUUAUUUUAAUUAACUAUGAAUAAAUCGUAUAUAUACAGUGAAUAUUAAUUGAAGUUCAUUUGUAUAUAUGAUAUAUCAAAUUAUGAUCAGUUAUUAUUUGAAUAAAAAAUUAUUUUAAUAAUUUAUAAAUUUAUGUAAAUUAAAGUUUUUUUAAAAAAUUUAUUAAAGUAAAACAUUGUGUUGACGUAGCUUUAUUUUUAGUAAUUCUUGUAGCUUCUAUUUUUUUUUAUCAUUUUAUUUGUUUAUUCCCCCUGUUAUUAGCAAAUAUAAUUAAUAUUAUACUAAUCAUUAAAUGUUGUUUAUUUUUAGAACUCUUUUGAUUGUUUUGUCGACCAAAAACAGACUUCUGUUCUUCAAAUGCAAUGAGUAGGGAAGUCUCUCGACAUUAUUAGAGAUCAAUCCCAAGCAUCUCCAAAUAAACCCUCAAGAAAACAUUUCCAAUUCAAUCAAGGUAAACAUUGUCUUCCCUAACAUUUAUGUUUCUUUCAACAUGUUUUUCCUUUUAUGUUUUUAAUGUUUAUGAUGAAAGAUUCAACAUCUCUAGAAACUGAAUCAUGCAUUCACCUUUAACAUGAGGUUUUAUAGUAAUAAUAUAUUAUUUUUCAGCUGAAAAUGGUCGGACGCGCAGAGGUCGAGGAUGUACGCUCCUAACAGAUUUAUAUAACUUAAAUUCUGUCGAGCGUGUCAAAGUAACUAGAAACAGCCAUGGUCAGCCUGUUGGACAAGAAGCUCGACUUUUAGCAGGGUAUUUGGGCAUUAUAGCAUGAAAUGCCAAUAUGUUGCCCAUCAACUACGAAUCAUGGCAUAACAUGCCUGAUAGCAAUAAAAAUCAAACUCUCUCUAAUAUUAAGGUAACAAAAUGUUAAUGUAAUUUAUAAUACUUUGGUUUAAGUUUCAUUUAUAUUUACUUCCUAAACUUGUGUUUUUUAGGAGAGGUUUGCUUUAGAGGUCUCUGAUGCCUAUAUCAAGAAGGCAUUGGGUAAAAAAUGGAGAGACCAUAAAAGCAUUUUGAAAAAAGAAUAUUUUUAAAAACCCAUAAGCCUCGAAGAAAAAUUGCAAAAUGUCCCACCGGGAAUGCUGAGGUACCAAUGGGAAGAUGCGGUUCGAUUUUGGAAUUCGAAGAAAGGAGAGGUAUUAUGUACUUGCAAACUUUUAUAAAUUUUUCAGUUUAUAGUAUUUACUAUAUACGUAAUAAUAAUUUCAUUAUGUAGGACCGUGAGCGAGUUGGAACAAGCAGCAGGCAAAAACAAAAAUUUACGCACACUGCAGGAUCGAGAAGUUUUGCUUGUGUAGCUCAGGCCGCGGUACUAUAGAUUUAUUAAUUCUAUCAAGUAUUAAUGACUUUUUACUAUUAAAUAAUAUUUACUACUAUAUUGUAGGAAGCCUCGUCUGGUCAAAAAGUUGGACGCCUUCAGCUUUUUGACAUUACGCACAGGAAAAAAGAUGGAACUCCGAUGACAUCUGAGGCUGCAGAAAUUAUGGUAUAUUUACUUAAUAAAAUUUGAUUCCAUUAUAAAUAUUUAUAAUAUUUAAUUAUAAUGUUUUAAUUCUUCAUUUUUAUUAGUUUAAUUUAAAUAAUGUUAUGUUGUAUUCCUUUUUAUUGUAUAUUUUGUUUCUAACUCUUUAACUGAUUUAUUAGGAGAAACUAAAAGAUAAGAAGGCAGAGUAUGAAGCGGCUGCUUCGACUGAUAGUUUUGUUAAUUUUGAGGAUAUUGAUAACAGAAUUAUUAAUGAAGUUUUGGGUCCUGAAAGGUAUGGUUGGGUUAGAUUUCAAGGAUCUGGUGUUAACCUGACCCAAUAUUUUGGAUCCACCUCGCACCAAUACAUACAUUCCGGGAGUCAAACUCAAGCUGAAGUUCAGAGGCUAAAAGAUCAGAUAGUUCAGAUACAAGCUAACACAGAUGAGAAAAUUUCUCAACUUAGAGCGAAGGCAGCAGCGCGGGAGGCGGAGGCAGCAACGAGGGAGGCAGAGCAGAACAGAAAAUACAAUGAACUCCAGCUACAGCUUCAGUCUAUGAUGACUAUAUUCCAGCAAUUUCAAAAUCCCCCAUUUUAGACAUUUGUUUUCUUGUAACUUUUAACAUUAUUGUAAGAAUAUUUUGAAUAUUCAUUUACAAUUUAUAUAAUAUAUUUUUCGUAUAAUUUUGUAUUAUUUAAAUUUGCGGGUUUUGGUUGGAUUUCAUGGUAUAUUUGCUGUUUUUGGUUGAAUUUCUUGCAGGAGGGUUGGAUAUAGGUGCAAAAAUACAUAUUGCAAAAUUGGGCAAAUUAGCGGCCUUUUUUAAAAGCGCCGCUAAAAAUCGUGGUCUUUAGCGGCGCUUUUUUCAAAAAAACGCCGCUAAUUUUACCGGCGUUACAUAUAGUGACGUUUUUUGCGGAAGGAAAAAAAAAACGCCGCUAAAAGUCUGUUUUCCUGUAGUGUCAUCAAUCUUGAGUUGGGGUUGAGUUAACUUGGGACACCAACUCAAUUAACAACAUUAUUGAAAAAAAUUAUUUAUCAUGGUCUUAUCAUCAAUCUUGAGUUGUUAUCAAGUUAAUUAGUGAUACCAACUCAAUUAAUGACAUUAAUAUAUACAACUAUUAGCACAUUGUGCAUAUAAAAACAUAUAAAAAAAUCAAAAUGAAACUUUGGUUGAGUGGUAACUUUAAGGUUUUAUUAAUUGAAUUGGCGUGAGCUCAAAUCUUAUUAUAUGCAUAUAAUUCUAUUUAGUUUAAAAAAAAUUAAAGUACCUUCAAAUAAUAUAACUUAUUUAAAUCAUGGAAAGAUAUUUUCAUAACUUCCCUAACCUAGUUGGUGCCCGGUUGACUUGUGACACCAUCUUAGUCAAAGGCUUAAAUAAUAGUACAGAUAUACAAAAAAAAUGAAAAUGUCUUGACUUAAAAAUAGAGCAGUGGUUAAAUCUUUUGUUAGACACCUGUUUGGCACAGGUUCGAACCAUAUUACCCUCAUCUUCUAUCCCUAAUAUUGUAUUGAACAAUAAAUGAUGCAAAUAAUAAAUUGUGCAUAUUAAGAAUAAAAAUGUAUUGGUUGAGUGGUAAAUUUAAGAUUUUACUAAUUCAAUUAGUGCGGGUCCAAAUCCCACCAUAUACAUAUUUUUAUUUGUUUUUUUAAAUAAAAAGAUUAAAAUACCCUAAAAUAAUAUGAUUUAUUUUCAUUACAGAAGAACAUUUCUAUAUUUUUUCUAACUGAAUUGAUGCCCAAUUGAUUCGUGACACUAACUCCAUUAGGAGCUUAAAUAACGUAUAGGUAUAAUUUUAAUUCUUUUUAUAAAUGGUAGAUAUAGGUGUUGUCUAUGGAUUGAACAAUAAUAAAGUAUAAAGUACACUCUUUAUUAAAUUAGAUGUUGUAUAACAUUUUCUUAUAUCAAAUUUUAGUAAACUUAAUUUUAUUCCUAAGUGAAAUUUAAAUAAUAAAUUUAAGAUAGGAUAUUAUUUAAAUAAAAUGUUUAAUAUAAAAAUAUACUAAUAAUAUUUUUUUUGAAAGUAUAGUUAUAUUUUAUUAAAUGAAUUAAUAUUUAAAAAUGGAAUUAUUUUAAAUAUUUAAUAUUAAAUUAUUUUAUAUAUUAUAAAUCAUGUACAUCCACUUAAUUAGUGAAUGACAAAAUUAUAUAAAAAAUAUAAAAUCAACUUUCUUAAUAAUACUUAUUCAUUAUAAUUAUGAUAAAUAAUAAAUAGAUUAAUUUGAUAUAUAAGUAUAUAUAUUUUUGAAAGGAAAUAUUUCAUUAAUAACUCAAAAACACAUAUAAGGAAUGAUUAAAAAAAAAGAAAAACGAUAACUAAAAUCUCAAUCCAUACACCUAAUUCUAAGGGCGAGUUUAGAUGGGCGGUGCGUUUACCUGCAGUUAGUGUAAAAACAGCGGUGGCGGUAAGAUUAGAUACUGUAGCGUGAGAUAAAAAGUAAGCUAAACAUACCGCACCCAAUCGCCCAUCCAAACCCACCCUAAGUCCUAUCUCUUUAAUUGAUCCAUUAUAUGAAAUAUUUAUAAGCAGAACAGAAAAAAGAUAACUUAGAAAUCUUCCAUUCACAAUAAUUCACAUUAUAUGAGUUACCUUUUUAGUGCUUUUAAGAGUCUAAAUGAAGUACAAAUUAAGACAGAAAAUGAGACUAAAGUUGGAGAUAAUUUUUAAACCAGCGUUCCAAAUUUACAGAUAUCAUUGUUUCGAUUGUGCCCAAAUUAAGGCCUCCUUGACUGCGUAUAAUUCAGCAACUUUUGGAGCCAUCAUUGGAUUAACAUGACCGUUUGCAUCACGGACUAUAGCAGACUAGCCUGGAGCAUUCUCCUCCCUAAAUAACGUGGCAUUAAUAUUGCACUUUGCCCAUUCCACAGGCGGCUUUGACCUACAUGAACUGACAACACCAGAAACUGCUCCAGGCUCUUGAACUUUAUCAAUAGUUCGUCAAACAUCAUUCUAAUCUUACAUAAAAGAGGCAGAAAAAGCUAGGAUAUGAGCGGUUGAAGCAUUUUUCGAUUGCCAUGCAAAAAGGUUCCUAUGGAACCAAAGACCCCACAUAAUACUUAAAGCUCAACCAACGAGUUAUUUUUAGUGAUACAUAAUGAAUCAAAAUUGAUAUUGUGUGAAAAAAAAUCAAAGAUAAUGCAUAUACAUACCAUCUGAUUGCAUCUGCAACCAAUCUUGUGUCAUAUCAAUUCCUAUCGAGUAUUGGGAUUCAGUGAGGAACGGUUGGGGGAUCUAAGAUAAUGAUACUGCCAAUGUAUUGAUAGAACUUUGCUUUCAUCUUUUCUGCAAAUGAACUAAGAAAAGUACUUAGGAUCUUGCACAAUUCAAUCAACAGUAUGUAAACAUGAUAGAUUUCAGGAAAAUAUACAUUGGCAGUAGGACUUUUGUUACUAGAGAAUACAUUAAUGGUUUCAAUAAAUAGCUUGAAAUAGCCAGUAAUGGAACUUGCCCAUUUCCACUCUUCUCCACUUGAAGCAAGGUCUGAAAUUCAUAUCAAGCUCUUAUUAAAAACUUAAACGAACUAUGUAGCAUUGUUGUAAAGAUGUUUUCCCCGUAAAGAUGGAGCACCUACUCACCAUGUAUGACCAUACUUCUCUUUGAUUGAAGGCAAAUUAGCAACACCACCAUUAUGGUAGAGAUGAUGCAGUCUCUUAAAUUAGAGGGCUGGAAUAGUGUGUAAUCCCUCAAUGUAGAAUCUUGUUAGUAUCUCAAGGCUGCAACUAAUUUUUAAAAAAUAAGACUAAGUCUUAGGGGGAUUUGUUAGCUUGUUAAUAGGAGUAGGAGUUUUUAGCUUGUUAGUAGCAAUUUGAAUUUAUUUCUUGUUGAGGUUGUUACUUGGGACUUGUAUAUAAGGGCUGUUUUGUUAAUCAAUUAAAUUAUCCCUUCAUUUCAUCUUUAGUUCUAUAUUUCAAUUAAGUCUUUGCUAAACCAACAGUGGUAUCGAGAGCCAUUUUUCUUGAGGGACUUGUGAGAAAAGUUUAGUGAGAGUUCUGAGAGAAAAUUUGAGAGAUACACUUGUGAUGUUUUUGAGGAAAAUGGAAUUGGAAUCGAGUAACCUUUCCAUCUUAUCCCCACCUGUGUUUGAUAGAGAGAAUUAUCAAGCAUGGGUCGUGAGAAUGUAAGCAUACAUGGAGGGUUAUGAUUAUUGGGAAGCUAUCGAGGAAGACUAUGAGGUAACUCCACUUCCAAAUAAUCCAACUAUGAACCAGAUCAAAAUGCACAAGAAGAGAACCACUAAGAAGGCUAAGGCAAAGUCUUGUCUUUAUGCUUCGGUUUCACCAGCCAUAUUCAAUAGAAUUAUGGCUUUUGGAUCAGCGAAGGAGAUAUGCACUACAGCAGAAUAGACUUUUAGCGGCGUUUUCAGCGGCGUUUGGAUGAAAAAUGCCGCAAAAUUUACACAUUAGUGGCGUUUGUAUAAAAACGCCGCAAAAUAUCAAUAUUAGCGGCGCUUAUAUAGAAAACGCCGCAAAAAAGUGAGAAUUAGCGGCGUUUUCUUAAAAACGCCGCAAUAGGUGACGCAUUAGUAGUUGUUGUCGAAAAACGCCCCAAAUUCGUUGACCAAAACGACGCCGUUUUGAUGGUGAGCUGUUGAGGCAUUAGUGGCAUUUUACCAAAAACGCCACAAAAAAUUCAAGCAAUAGCGGCGUUUUGUGAAAACGCCACAAAAGGUGACGUAUUAGCGGGGGUUGUCUGAAAACGCUGCAGAAGUUUUGAACAAAACGGCGCCAUCCCUUGGUUAGCUAUAGAGGAAUUAGCGGCGUUUUUAAAAAAACGCCACAAAAUGUGAAUCAUUAGUGGCCUUUUUUUAGAAAACGCCGCAAAUAAAUUAUGUUAUUUUAAGGUUUAAGGUUAUGAAUUUUAGGUCAAUUUAGAGUUUUAGGGUUUAUGAUAUAAUGUUUAUUAUUUUGGGUUAUGGAUUUAUGUUUUAGAGUGUAAGUCUAGGGUUUAUCGUGUUUUAGGUAUUAGGGUCGAAUUAAUUUUAAUGUUCAUGGUUUUAGGGGUUAUGUUAUUAGGGAUUAGAGGUUAUGAUUAAUGAUAAAAAAUUAAUUUAUUUUAGGGUUUUGGUAAGCAUUAAGAUUCUAUUUUAAUUACUUUUGUCCCUUGUUAUAUAUAUUAAGAUUCUAUAUAUUUAGGGUGUAAGUUUAGAUUAAUUUAGGUUUAAGGAAAGGAUACUAUUAGCUAGAAACUGAAGAACAUUUGGAUUUUACUGAGAUUCAUGCCAUUUAAUUUGUAUAUACCCAUAUUAUUUAAUAUAAGAAUAUAAACGUAUAUAUGUGUUUUAAUUUGUACUAUACUAACAUUGGUCACACGAAUUCCCAAAAAUAUGUCUACGAUUAUGGUUUAGGGUUAAUGAUUUUUAAAGUUUAUAGUUUGGGGGCUUUAUAGUCUAGGAUUUAUGGUUGGUUUAGGGGUUACUGUGAAUGGUUUUUGGGUUUAAAGUUUAGGGUUAUAGGUUUUGUGUUUGUGGUUUAGGGUUUAGGGUUUUAGGUUUAGGGUUUUAGGUUUAGAGUAUAAUUUUGGAUUUAAUUUAGAAGAUAAAUAUAAAUAAGAUAAAUAUAUAUAAAUUAUUAUUUUAAUAUAAAUAAGAUAAAUAUAUAUAAAUUAUUAUUUUAAAAUAAUAUAUAUCAAAAUGGGUUAAAUCCCAAAUAGCUAAGAUGAAAAGUGGUUUACUGUGCAAUUGUGUACAUGAACUGUAAUUUGAUCUAGAUCUUUCCACCUAUUAACACAAUUAUUGAUAUAAAUAGCGUCAUGUUUUUAUUUAAUUAAUUUAUAUGCAUACGUAAUAUUUAUAUUUAUUCAAUAUAAAAUUAUAUUGAUGUAUUUUAAAAUGUGUAUUAAAUCAAAAUUGAAGUUUUAACUAUAGUUAGGGUUUAGAGUGUUGUAAGUUUGUGGUUUGAGGUUUAAAUUUAAAGGUAUAUUGUUGAAGACUGAACCAAUAUUUGGAAUUUUAUGAGAUUCUUUCCAUUUUGUACUACACGUAAUAUAAAUAUAUGAAAAAUAUAUUUUGUACUACACUAACAUUACUUGGAUAUAAUAUAAAAGAAAUUCUAAAUAUAUAGUUUUAAAUUUUGACCAAUUUUUAAAAAAUAUUCAGGUAUUAGCAGCGUUUAUACAUUAAACGCCGCAAAAGAUAGGCAAUAGUGGCGUUUUCCAAAAAAAAGCCACAAAAUUUAAUUAUACAUUAGAGUAAAACGACAGCGUUUCCUCUGAAUAUUAGGGGCUUUAGCGGUGUUUCUAUAAUAAACGCCACAAAUUGUAUUAGAACAGCGUCGUUUUGUAGUGGAUAAAAGAGGCGUUAGUGGCGCUUUGCCUAAAACGCCGCAAAAUGUCUCAUUAGCGGCGCUCUGAUGAAAACGCCACAAAGUUUCCUUAUUUGAAACGGCGUCAUUUUUUCUCCCUUGAGGUUUAUUCCCUUUACCCGGAAUCAGUUCAGGUUUUUGCUAAGUCUUUUUUCCCCAUUUUUGUUCUUCAUUCCUUAAAUCCCUAAAACAAAAAAACACCAUUUUCUUUUUCCCCAAAUCAUCCCCUAAUUCCCUAAACCCGAAAUCCCUAACAUUUUCCCCAAAUCCCAUUUCUUCCCUAAAUCUAUUUUCCCAUCCCCAAAAUCCCUAACUAUUUUCCUUUUCCUCUCGUCUCGCUUGCAGUUAUUCCCCGAAACCAUUGCAUGUGUCCGAUAUCGACGUUGGAAGCGGUUCAUCUGAUUCUGCUACACUCAUCGUGUAAGUUAGGUACAAAUUUGUUUUCCUCAUUAUUCUUUACUCGUUAUGCUUACAAUACUUUUUCUUUGAUUUUUCAGUGUUGUUGGAUGGUAUAGUCAUCAAGCAAGAAAUUGGUUUUUGUGGUUUUUGAAAUCCACUGCUUCAUCGGGGACUGAUUUUGAGGUAUGAAUCUUGAACUUUGUCUUUGUCUGUCUUUGCCUUUUGAUUUCUAUUUUGGUUUCAGAUCAAUGUUUUUUUUACUUCUAUUUCAGUGGAUUCAUUUCUCUGCCGUUUCUUUGUUGCGAUUUUUGUAACCCCUGCUUCAUGGGAGACUGAUUUUAGGUAUGAAUCUUUGCUUCAACAUUUGUCUUUUUGAUUUUUGCUUUUUUCAUCUCUGGUUUGGAGUGUGGUGUGUUUAGCUGUGUGGGUUUGGGGUGUUAUUGGUUCAGGUUUGCAGUCUUUGGUCUGACCAAAGUAAAGUCAGUCUCUUCUUUCCUCUCCCUUUUAUCUCACUUAAGAUAAUGCUUUAAACUUUUUCGGCUGGCUUUCAUUCUAAUAUGACUGUCCACAUAGCCUACUGGUCUCGUGUAUAAAAAACUGCUUUCUAGUCUGAUGUCCUGCAUAAGAAAAAUCUCUAAUUGGCUGGAUUUUAAGUACUGUGAAACCAGUAUCCCAAUUGCUAAGUCAACCAUCAGGAAAUAGGCACACAUGAAUGACUUUAAUUAAAUAAUUCCCUGGGAAACUCUACAAUAAUUAGUUUAAACGAUCGGUCUGAGGUCUGUGCUUGUAAAUCCUUGAAUGAGAUAGAUCUGUCCUUGGAAUAUGUAGCACUCUUCCUGUCCAGAUAUGACUGUCUUAAAUUUGUUAUUUUGCAUGAUUAUUUGAGAUCUGCUCUUAAAUUUGUUAUUCUGCAUGAUUAUUUGAGAUCUGCUUCUGUCAAUGUACUUUUUGAUUUCAUUGCUCUCAAACGUAAGGCGCAAAAAUAUUUGAAUUGUAGGAAAGAAUAAAAAAAAGAAAUAAUGUUUCGUAAAACACAAAUUUGUCGGCCAACUUGUUUUAUGUUUGGAAAUAUUCGAAUAUAAAUAUUAAAAUAGGAAAAAACAUACAUUAGUCUCAAAUCCAAAUACCUUGUAUUCUAAUUUUUUAAUUUGUAACCAAAUUCAAUGCUAAAACUGAAAUUACUUUGUACUGCCCAUUGGAUUUAAUUCUAAAAAUUCUCCAUAAAUAUUUGCAUCUAAGAAUAUAGUAAUCACUAAAUAAUUCUUUAUCCAUUAAUUUUAUAUAUAUAUAGAAUAAAUCUUGCAAGAAUUAGAUGCUUUUGAAAGAUCAUUAAUUAGGAUCACUUCACUGAAUAUUGCUUACAUUAUUAUUCAUCAUGCUUUUACUAUUCUAACAUUCUUCACGAUUCCAACUUUUGAUUAUUACAUUGGAAUAAUGUAAUUUUUAGUUUUUAAUAUUUAAUUUAAUAAUUACUUUUUAAAGUUAAAUUUUAAUUUUUGAAGAAAAUAUUACUUAGGGCUGGAAAAGUAUUUCCAACGAAAGUUUCAUGAAAUAAAUUAUUCACGAUCGAAAAUGUUUUUUAAUCAAAAUCGUUUUAGCGACUAAUGAUUAGCAUCAGAAACAGUGGUCCCCUUGGAACCCCACAUUUUGUUAGUUUCUUGCUCCAUAAUUCUGAAUGAAAAUCAUGCAUGUAAAUUUCCCUUGAAAAAGGACAGAUUUGUGUAAGAGGAAUGUCCUGUGGAGUCUUCCUUAGUCUAUUCUCAGCCAUUUGACAUUUGUGACAAAAAAUCAUUUCUUUUCCAUUCGCAAUCAAUGUUUAAAAAUUGAAACACCAAGGGCCAUCUUGCCGAUUAAACUAUACCAAAUUUGAAGGUUGAUUACUUAACUUAUUUCUAUGCAUUUAUCACUAAAGUUUUGGGUCCUGAAAGGUACGGUCGGGUUCGAUUUCAAGGAUCUGGUGUUACCCCGACCCAAUAUUUUGGAUCCGGCUCCUAGCAAUACAUGCCUUCCAGAAGUCAAGCUCAAGCUGAAGUUCAGAGGUUAAGAGACUAGAUAGCUCAGAUGCAAGCGAACACAGUUGAGCAAAUUGCCGAGGUUCAACGAAAACAUGAAGAACUCCAGCAACAACUUAGAGGGGAGGUAGCAGAGAGGGAGGCAGCGGCAGCAGCGAGAGAGGCAGAGGCACGAGCGAUGGUAGUAUAGCAGAGCAAAAACUACGAUGACCUCCAGCUACAGCUUCAGCAGAUGAUGCAGAUGUUUCAGCAAUCGCAAAAGCCGCCAUAUUAGAUAUUAGUCUUCCCAUUGUAAGAAUGUUUUUAACUUUGUCACGUUUAACAUUAUUGUAAGAAUAUUUUAAAUUAUACUUUAUUUAUUAAUUAUAUAAUAUAUCUUUAGUUCAAUUUGAAGUAUCAUUUAGAAUUAAUGUUUUUGGUUGUAUUUUUUAUGCUAAAUUUGCUGUUUUUGGCUGUAUUUUAUACUAUAUUUGUUGUAUUUGGUUGGAUUUUAAUGCAGGAAGAGCUGGAUAUUGGUGAAAAAAAUAUUCCAAAUCUGCCAAAAUUAGCGGCGUUUUUCCCACAAAUGCCGCUAAAAGCCGUCACUUUUAGCGGCGCUUUUUCCACAAACGCCGCUAAAAUCCAUCACUUUUAGCGGCGUCUUUUUUCAAUAAACGCCACAAAUUUUUGUGGCGUUACCUAUAGUAGCAUUUUUUGCUGCCUUUUAAAAAGUGCCGCUAAAGGCUAAAAAAAGCGCCGCUAAAAGUCUAUUUUCUUGUAGUGAUAGGACUACCUCAAAGCUGAGUAUUAAGGAGAUAGGAGGAUCAAGAGCAUGAAGGUGUUGAACUUGAUCAGAGAAUUCGAAAGGCUACAAAUGAAGUAGUCUGAGUCAAUCAAAGAAUACUCAGACAAGCUGAUAGAUAUUGCCAACAAGGUAAGAGUUCUUGGGACUGAUCUCUCUGAUUCUAGACUAGUGUAGAAGAUACUUGUCUCUGUGCCUGAGAAAUAUGAAGUAACUAUUGCCUCUUUUGAGAACAUUAAGGACUUGACUCAAUUGAGAGUAGUGGAGUUGAUCAGUGCUUUACAAGCACAAGAGUAGAGGAGACUAAUGAGGCAGGAAGGAAGCAUAGAAAGAAGCAUAAAAGGAGCAUUAAAGGCUAAGAUACAACAAGGCGAAAAAGGAGAGAAACAAAAGUGGAAUAGGAAGAAGAGUGAUUGCAAUAGUGGUUCAGAAAUGGUUGCAAAAGGUAAUAGUACUAAAAAUUAUAAUAAGUAUUCUUCAUGUAAGUAUUGUGGAAAAUAGAAUCAUCCCUGUUUCAGGUGUUGAAGAAGGCCAAAUUUGAGAUACAGAAGGUGUAACUUGAAAGGGCACAUUGAGAGGUUCUACAAGGAACUGAGAAAUCAGCAGCAAGAUGGAGCACAUACUAUAGUUAAAGGAGAAGAGGACCAUUUGUUUGUCGUCUCUUUCUUCUCAUCAAGCAUUUUAUAUGAUAGUUGGUUAGUUGAUAGUGUUUGUACCAAUCAUAUGACUUAUGGUGAGAAGCUGUUUAAUGACCUUGACAGGUCAUUGAAGUCGAAAGUAAGGAUAGGAAAUGGAGCAUACCUAGACGUGAAGGGAAGAGGCACAGUAGCAAUAGAGAGUUGUGCUAGAACUAAGUUGAUUUCAGAUGUUCUGUUUGUACUUGAGAUUGAUCAAAACUUGUUGAGUGUGGGGCAAUUAGUAGAGAAUAGAUUCAAGGUUAUGUUCAAAGAGGGAAUGUGUCUGAUCCUUGACUCUAGUGGUAAUGUAUUGUUUAGGAUCAAGAUGUAGAAGAAGAGUUUCUUAUUGAAUCCAUUUGAGGAGGAGCAAGUGGCAUCCAAGUGUCAGGAAGGAAUGACAUCACAAUGUAGUGAAAAAAUUUUUGAGCUUGAGAUAAAAUCAACAAAUAAUCGUUUCGUGCAAGAACAACUGCAAAUCAAGUGUUUUUGCAUGCAAAGGUAACUCUCUUGGAGUAGCAGGUGACAUCUCUCUCUGAUAAACUAUCAUCUUUUGCACACGAAAUAUCUGAAGAACAUGCUGAUGAGCUAUGGAAAAUGAAUCUAUCUCAGGAGAUCGAGAGUAAUGUGCAACUUUUAGAAGAGAAUAGUGGUUUAUGUUUCCAAAAUCAAAAGCCAACUGAAGAAGCUUCAUAUGCGAAAGAAUUGACAUCUGAGCUUUCAGUGCAAAAUACAAAAUUGAAAAAGGAAUUAUUAGCUGCGAGAAGAUUUGUCAAUCAAACUAUAAAUGGUAUUAAUCGCAAGUAUAGUGACAACACAAGACGUUGGAAGAAGGGAAAGCACUUUGGCCACUCUCAUGAUUUUUCUGGAGCAGCUUGUGAUGAUUUUGAAUUAUGGAAUUUUGAUUUAGAUGCCAUUGCAUGCUAAGAAACAAUUAGAGGCAACUCUUGAAGCUACACUAGUCGAGAAGGAAUUCAUAGAAGGCGAAUAUUGAAGAAACUGGUUUUCAGAGAUCAGAUGACGGAUAUUUUUACUAAAUUUUUCAUGUUAGUCAUUUUGAGUUUCUUUAGAAUAAACUUGGUGUCUGAAGCACUUGAGUUAGGAGGAGAAUGUUAGUAUCUCAAGGCUGCAACUAAUUUUUAAAAAGUAAGACUAAGUGUUAGGGGGAUUUGUUAGCUUGUUAGUAGGAGUAGGAGUUGUUAGCUUGUUAGUAGCAAUUUGAAUUUAUUUUUUGUUGAGGUUGUUACUUGAGACUUGUAUAUAAGGGCUGUUUUGUUAAUCAAUUAAAUUAUCCCUUCAUUUCAUCUUUAGUUCUAUAUUUCAAUUAAGUCAUUGCUAAACCAACAAAUCCUGCCCAAUACAACGAAAAAGAAUAGACAUAUAGCUGAACAAAUCAGUACUUGGUAGAUAAACUAUGCCUGGGACGUGCCAAAUAUCAUUGUCAAGACUUUAGCUUUUAAAUACUCAUUUAUUUCUGUCAAACAAAAUCAACAAAUUAAUUUACUCAUUGCAACAAAAAUCAAACAAUGGGUAAAUUGUCCAACAUUAUGUUUUAAAAUGCUUCUCAAGGUAGCAAAUGCAUCAAACUCUGCACAAAAAAUAAAGAGUGGAUAGAUUAUUCCAUAAAAGAAGCAACUCCAUCUAUCAGACUUUAAAAAACAUAAUCAACAAAAAAGUAUACAUUGUCUAUAAUAAAUAAGUAAUAAUUUGAACUAAAAAGAAAAAUAAAAAGAAAAAAAAAACUAAGGCGAGAAGAAAGGUAAAUGGUCAUGCCAUAUUUACCUAGUUAAUUAAAAAGUGUAGACUGUUGGUACAAUCGACGUGGUUUAGGCUCAAGAAUGCCUUCUGCAACAUUUUUCACUUAAAGGGUGAAAUUUCUUCAGCUUCUACUUCAUACUGUGGUAGUAAGGUAGGUUUUCUCCUUUCCCAGAAUAUAGCUUUUCGUGAGAGAUUGGUAUCAUUUAGCUGAGAUGCCUUCAUUUCAUAAAAAAAUUAAAUUUUGUUAAGAAUAACAUAAAAAUGAAAUGAAAAUUACUCAAUUUCAUAUAUAUUAGAAACAAUAAUGGAAAAACUCAAGUAAAAGAGUGUUGGGAGGAUAAAUACCUGAUCAGUUUUAGCAUGCACAGUCAACGUUAAAUAAUCUGCACUGAAACUUGUGAUCAUCUUGGAACAUUGCUUAAUGUCAAGCAAAUCCAAACACGGGAAUUCCAGAUGAUAAAGCAGAGGGCUGAAACUCUCGAGCUUUGACAAGUUUUGAAGUAGUAUUUGCUUUAACCGAGGGAAUACCAUUUUCAUCUCCGACUGAGGAUCUUGUGAUGAUGAUGAAGAUGCUAAAAUGUCAUCAUUUCCAAUUAUUUGCUUCAAGUUCUCACAUGACGCUAUGUUUAGAAAGCUUAAUUGUGGUAGAUGUGGAAUGAGCGUAACUGGAAAGAUGUAUGUCAAAUUAUUGCAGCGGCGAACCUUUAGUUCUCUAAGAUUGGUUGCAACAUGAAUGGGACCCUUCCAUAUAUCUUGCAACUUAAUCAAAUUAGAAAGCUCCAUUCUCUCUAGGCUUGAGAUGAUAUUUCCACCCUGAAGCUGAAACAAUUGUUCAAAGUAUUUGAGAUUUUGCAAGAAACACUUGAGAGGUUGCAUUUGAAACCCAUAAUUGCCUGUGAUAUAUCAAGCAUUCACCAUCCCUCCAGUUAAUAAUAGAGAGGGAAGUUAAUCCAUCUAAAUGUUCCAAAUCUACAAUAUUUGAGAUGAAAUUUUUAUGAUCUCCAAUAUUUUUGAGAAUAAGAACUUUUGUAUUGUAGAACAAUUCCUUGAAUAUAGAUACCUAAAUCACCUAAUCGUAAUUCAUCACAUAAACAAAAAUAAAUCAUUAAUUAAUAAAAUCACAAAGAAAAAAUUAAUGAAAAAUUAAAUAUUAGAUUAAUAUAAUAAGAAAUUGGUACCAUAAAAAAAUAUAUAAUAACAGAUUGAGAUAAAAAUAACCACCAGGAUAUAUGAUAAUUAUACACAGCAAAUAUAACAAUUACCAUUUUUAACUAGAGGCUCUAUUUUUAUAUAUUUUCUAAGCUCAACGUCAAGGGUUGGGAGGGGCAUGGUAUAAAAAGGUUUAAUAAUUAGAAAAAAUCAUAUUAAAAAUCCAGAAAACGAAAAGAGAGUAAGAAAAGUGUACCUUUAACGUUAACUCCAGCUGAUUGUUGGCUUGUUGAAUGGGAAGGGUCAUCACUUUAGGACAAUCAUUAACUUCCAAUCUUUUGAAAGAUGGUGCUUUGACAACAUAGUUUUGUGGGACAAAACUAGUCAAGUUUGUUAAGCAAAUAAGUUGUAGAUCUUGUAGACUUGAAAGGAGCAGCCUAUCAUGGUGUUGAACUCCAUCUUGUUCAUUUGGCAUACCGAAUACUUGCUUUAAUUCAUCACAAUAAGAAACCGAAAGCAAUGCAAGAGCAGGAAGACCUUGAGCCAAAUUGAUUGGCACAACAUAUUCCAGUUUUAAACAACAAAUGAUGCAAAGAGUUUUCAAUUUGGGCAAGCAGAGGGGAAGGGAAGAAGUCUUUGAUUCUAUUUCACCAUCAUUGAAAAGAGUUUCCAAAUUGGGGCAGCAUCGUAUCUUGAGUUGUUCUAAAAGCUCUAGGCUUUGAAUAAGGGAAGGUGAAAAAAUGGAUUUCAAGUUUCUGCACUGAUCUAUGUCUACAACUGUAAGACUUUUGAGGGUGAAAGAGUGCGGUGGGCCUUUGAAUAUCCAUCUCAAUUCUGGUACGUAGAAGAGCUUCAAAGAUUGUAAACUUGAAAGUGGGCGCUCUUGAUUUUCUUCUCUGUUAUGAAGGAGCUCACCCUCGACUCGCAACUCGUAACAAUCUCUAACUUCCAGAUGUUUCAAGUUUUUGAGGAAACCUUGUGGAGGCUGACCCUUGCAUAAGGCUUUCAACCGAUACAUAAAUUCUAUUUUUAAUGUCUCCAAAUGAGUGAAUGCUGAAGUUGGCCCAUUCUUUGUUGCAGUAGUGGUGGUAUCAACAAAGCAUUCAAGAUACAAGCAAUCCCGAAGUUGAAGUGAAGUUACUCCAUUUAGUCCAUCUUCAUUAGCUUCUGGAACCAGAUUAUGAUCCUCAAUUGAAUUUAGUUCAAGUUGUUUCGAAGUUUUGAAAGAUUCCUUGAAUGCUGAUAAUCGAACACGCUGAUUGUAAUUCACAUGAACCAUUCAUUAGUAAAACAGAAAUUAUAUAUAUAUAUCAAUUAUCAAUCAAUAGUUGACGCAGGAACAUAAAUAAUUAAAAUAUUGUUUUAAAUCACUAUUGAUGUCGUCCGUAAAUACAGAAUUAAACAAAGGGCAAAGCUAAUAGUAUUAGAAUAAUGCACAUUUAAUGAUAAAGUAAAAAAUAUGUAAUUACAUGAAACUCAUAAAUUUAAAAAUUAAAAUCUAAAGUAAUCGAACUCAUAAAUUACCUACUUGGACGGCCGGAAAUAGAAAGUGAAUGAAAAGGUUACAUCUACAUGGUUUCAUUAAUUAACUUAAUUCUUUAGAAAAAUGGAAAUUAAUAUUAAAAAUGACAUUAAUUUGUAUUAAGUAUGAAACUACAAAACAAUUCGUUUGUUUAAUAUUAAAAAAAAAUGCAAUUGGCGAUUACAAAAUAAACCUAUAUAUACUCUAUAUUUGAUCUCUGCUUUUAGCAAAAGUUAAAAACUGAGAUUGAAAAAAAAAUUAAAUUAAUUUCACUUUAUUACUCACGAAAAAGGUAAAACUCAGUAAAAUUAUAAAAAAGUGUAAAAUAAUAUAAAUUAAUGCCCUGACUUUUUUAUAAAAAAAACUAUUGAUAUUUUCGAACCACCAAUAAUUAUUAUUUUUAUAUUAUUUACUUCCACACACAUAGGAGUGCCAAUUCUAGUAUGGUUAAAAUAUCUUACACAUUUCGCUAAAAAAUCAAUAUGAAAACUGAGUUAUGAAUCCUUUAUGAAAAUCAUAAAUGAAUAAAAUUCAAUAAUUUAAUUAGAAAGGGAGAAAAAGAAUGUACCUCUAUGCGAGCUUCCUCAGCUUCGAAAUGAACAACCGAAUCAAUUAAUUGAGGGCAACAAAGCACUGUAAAGGACGAUAGCGAUCUCAAGAACUGCUGGUGUUGGAGCAGACUAUCAUUUCCCACCCUGAACACUUGUUUUAAUUGACGGUAAUAUCUUAUGUUAAGAGUCAAACCCUGAAGCCAUUGUGGUGCCAACGACGUAAAAAAAAUAUACUCCAAACCAUUACAAAAAGAUAUGUCGAGCCUUGUUAACUUUGGGAAGCACAAAGAUUUAUGAGAAUUGAUGGUCGAUGAUAUUUCUCCCUCAUCACCUUCCAAUUCUACCACUAUUUGCUUUAACUCAACACAGGAGCCUAUGUGAAGUGUUUCCAAGAGUACGAGACUUUGAGCAAAAGAAAGUGAAAAGAGUGAUUUCAAACGUGGGCAAUCUUCUAUCCUCAAAUGAACUAAGCUUUCAAGUCUUACAUGUUGGGUUGGCAAUUCCCAUAUGCAACUCAAAUCUGGCAACCUUUCGAGAUGUAAAAUCUUUAAAUUUGAAAGAAGUGGAGCUUCAUUUUCUUCCACCUCCUCCAUUUGAAAUACCACUUUUAGACUCUUGCAGCCUUUAAUUCUCACUUGUUUUAGGUUUUGUAAGAUCAUUGACACUGACACCUUCUGUUGUGUUUUGUUAGUCAAGCAUUCUAUAUACUCAUCAUCGAUACAUGACACUUCAAGGGACUCUAAAUUCCCAAGUAAUUGGGAAACUGCAUUGUAAUGAAACACUUCAUUAACUUUCAAGGAUCUUGCUUCCUCAAAACGAGAAUCAUGCCAGCUACUUCUACGGUUUAUACAUAUAUUGUAAUUUUCUAAUUCAGGAAACUCAAAGUCUAGCGGUAAAUGUAGAAAAGAUACCUCAAGAGAUAGUCUGGUCAAAAACUUUAUCUUGAGAAAGAUAUCGUUACUUAUCUCUCUAUACAGUAAUCCUGAUAGGUACAACUCCUCUAGGUGAGAUAACCUUUGAAUGACAUUAGGGGGAAAGAUCCAUUUAAGUCCAAAAUUGGUUAAAUCCAAUAUCUUCAGAUUUUCCAACCUCCCUAAUUCAUCUUCCAAACCCUCAAAGUUUGAACCACGCAAACUUAGAAUCUCAAUUGUCUUUAGGUCUCCAAGGUGCGAAAAGUCCUUAAAAUUCUCCAAAUGCAGAGCACGAAGUUUUUCCAGGUACUUAAGAGCAUACAAGGAAAUAAACCCUGUAGAACCUUCUACAAUUGUAAGACUUAAAACUUUUAGUUCUCUCAUUUCUUGAAAACAUGUACCUUGUACAUUGCAGUUCUUAAGCAAUAAGAUCUCAAGCUUCGAAUGCAUUAAUCCAUCAGGAAAUUUUUUCUCUUCACUGUCCAACAAUGAGAUUGCAUUACAAGAUUCAGAGCUUUUCUUUCGUGACGCCAAUCUAGAUUUGAUCACAAAAUUACUUUUUUUUCUGAUGCAAUCCAUAGAGCAACAUCACGAACUAUGCCAUGUAACUUAACGUACCUAAUCAAGCCAAAAUAAAAGAGAAUACAUUGAAUAAUAUUUUUUUAUUAUACAAUUUUUAGAAAAUUAAAAGACAAAAAGAAAGUAGAAAAAGGAACAAUAGGAAGAAAAUUUAAAAAAAAAAACAAAAUGGUGGAGGAAACUAUCAAAUUUAACUAUAGUAGACAUCUUAAUCAAAUUUUACAUUAUAUAAAUUAUACUAGUAUAAUUUUUGUUACUUAGCCUUGACAUUUUUUUUUCUAAUUUAGCACCUUUUUCCCGAUUCAGUAUUUAUAAUUUACAAUUUUUCUUAAUUUGGUUCCUAGGCAUUUGUUUUGGUCUAAUUUAGUACUUAAACUUGACACUAUUUUUUCUAGUAUUCUGGUAUCUAAACUUUUUUUAGGUUCAACUAGACACCCUAACUUGUUAAAUGAUAUAUAAUUUACCCUUAAGCUACAAAAAUAUUGUUAGUAUUAGAGGAAAUUUGUGUUAAAAAUUAUGCAUUGGGUUAUACUUAAUAAAUUAAUAUUGAAUAAGGAAACAAGAGUUCUAAAACCCCAAAAUAAAAGAAAUUCAUUAUUUAAAAUUAAUAAAAUAAAAUAAAAAAGUUAAACUAAAAGUAAAUGAACUUUUAAAAUAUAAAAAAGAAAUACGAUGUCAUUUGUCACAUGUCGACCAUACAUUGAUUGUUUUUGCUACCUCAUAAAAAAAUUAUUAGUAUAUUGAAGCAAUUUGUAUAAUAUUUGACAAGUUCAGGUACUGAAUUAGACAAAAAAAAAGGUACCAAAUUAGAAAAAAAUAAAGUAUCAAAUUGGACCCCAAAAAGAGAUUAAGUGUAACAUCCUAAACAAUAGAAGAAUCAAUUCUUAGAAAGUUAAUGUAAUUGGAAUCCUAGUCUAGUGGCUAAAGGCUUAGUUGGAAGUAUAAAGAACUAAGGUUCAAAUCCUCCUAAAUUAACUCUUACUUAUUUUCUUAUUUUUCCCAUUUCCAAAAGACCCAAUCCACAUUGGCCACCUGCUUUAAUGAUUUUCUUUACAAGAUGGGCUAAUUUCCCAAUAAGACCCCAAACCUUUGCUCAACCCAAUGCUCUAAAAGACUCUUCCUAAUUCAACUAAAAUUUCCAUUUGUAAUUAUAACAAAUAAAAGCCAUACCUUACUCUUAUUUUCAAAUAACCUCAUAAAACCCCUUUUACAAACUUGUUCUCAAAAUUUUGUUGCUGGAAAUUCUUUGAAUUCUUGAAUCUUUACAAAUAAGCCCUAAUCCAUCAUCUUCAUCAAAAGAAUUGGAUCUUGCAUCGCUUACAUGUCAAUUCCUUGUCAAAAUAGGUAAGUAUUUCGUUCCUUAUCAAGUGGGACUUCUCAAUUUUUAGGAAACAACGAGAUUUAACUGAUUUAUCAACUUGCUAUUAAAUCUUUAAACAUUUCUAUAAAAAAAAACCCCUUUAAAUCUUGAAAACCCAUCAAUAAUCAUCAUGUUUUGUCGAUCAAAAGAUCCUUGUAGGUGUUUGGAUCAAGCUUGAAUGUGGGGUGAUCACUUGAAGCCUAGGGAAAGUAAGAUGGGUGAUUUUUUAUGAAAAUCGGGUUAAAAUUUGAAACUGCUCAGGUACACACAGUACACACGACCGUGCCCCUUGUUUUCCUUUCACAUACGUGCUUCGCGCACGGCUUAAAAGCUUGCAUACAGCCUAGACACACAGCUGUGUGGCACCUGCACCUACACUCCUCCAUUUUUCACACGACUUGAGGCCACACACACGGGUCGGACACACGGCCGUGUGGCCCUUACAAACUCAAAUUUUCAAUUUUGCCUUACCUUCUCUUAUUUUAUGCAAUUUAGUCACUAAGUAGAUUUUUAACGGCAUCUAGAGAUUUAGAUUUUGCAAUUGGUUCUAGAUUAGGAUGGUAUGAUAUAUCUACAUGGAUGAAUGAUUCUAUGAUUUAUAUGUUUAUGGUAAUUUGUUUAUUGACAUAAAUUUGUGAGUGAUACCAUGAUUGUAGUUAGAACUUGAUGAUUUAAGUAUGACUAUUUAAAACCAUGACUAACAAUGGCAUGUCUACGAUUGCCAAUAUGACUAUUUAAAACCAUGAUUGACAAUGACAUCUCUACGAUUGCCAAUAUUAUAUGAUUGCUUGAGGAGUUAUCGUUUUAAUUCUUGUAUGAUUAUGCCAAAAUAAAGAUUAUAUGAAAAUACUGAGCGAGUACCUCGCUCAAUAAGAUGGAACUGCUACAUGAUAAAAUUCUGAAUAGUCACUAAAUAAACGAACAGUAAAGAUUUGGUUGUAUUGCAUAUACAUGAGGGAAUAUAAAAGGUGGAAGAAACGAACGGCAGUUUAUACUGCGUAUAUAUUACAAGCUCGUUGUGUACUCACUGUUUAUACAAAUUCUAAUCAUGACUAAACAAAUGGAGCAUCCCCGAUUUUAUCUGAAAACUUUUAUCUACGAGAAAUUAUGGAUUCUCAAAUCAAACGGUAGCUCAUCUGCACUUAUGAAAAAUAGGAUGAAAAGGAAGACGGACUUUGGGGAACUUCUUAUUUGGAAAGCUAGUGGUCGAGGGUAGGAUUUCUUAAUGACAUAUAAUAUGUUGAAUGAAUUAUGUAACGCCCUGAAUAAUUUAUUUAUGUUUCUGUAAAUAUCUAACACAAUUGUGCAUCUGCUUUAGUGGUUAAGUGUUCUGGGUGUGUGUAUAAGGUCUUGGGUUUAAGUCUGAUAGAAUUUCGGUUGAGUUAAAAUUCUGAGGGAGUUGUGAGUGGUGGGAUUAUGGGAGAAGAAUAAGGGAUCUUGUUGACAUAUCUUUUAUUUUUUUUCAAAUUUUAAUUAAAUUUUCCCUUUAUUCCAAAUUUGACGUCGGUUUUUGCUCAUUUUUGGAUUUUCUGUCAAUUUCUUUUUGUUCCUCCUCUUUCUGGCGUAAUCUUUGGUUUUCUGUUCCUUUUGAUUUUCUUUGUUCUUUAUUUCUGUUAUUCGCGUAGGUUCGGUAAGCCACUCAAUUUUAUUUAAUAGUAUAAUGAUUGUUGUAGGAAAUCUGAACUCUGCGAUCGGUUGUGUAGGUGAAGGCAGUGAAACUGUAGUUUUCACUUCGACAGCUUAAUUUUCGCGUAUAGUCGUUUUGCGGUGGUAAGUGUGGAAUGUUGCUCAAUUUAGUUUUGGUUGUGUUCGUAAAUCGUUGCUAAUUGGGCAUUAGGAUUCUAUUUUUAGCUUUUGGUGGUCUCGGGGCUAUUUUCGCAUUGAAUCGAUACUAGGUGUGUACUCCUUACGCGUGAAAAUUGAGUUCGGCAAAAGCUAAAAGUACAAUCUGUCAAUGCCACAUGAACGUGUAGUCGCCUGUGUGGUUGGUCGUACGCAUGAAAUGGCCAUGUGACGGUGUAGGUGUGGCCGUAUGGGCCACAUGGGUUAGGCCAAGAUGGGUGUGUGGGCCACACAGGUGUGUAGGCCCACACAGUCAUGCCACACAGGCGUGUUGGUUUUGGGCCAAGCGUGUGGGCUACACGAGUAAGGCCAAUCUGGGCGUGUGGGCCCAUACGGGCAUGUGGGCCUAUAUUUUUUAAAUUUUUCCUAGGGUCGUACGGGUCGCUUCGACCAACUGUGAGUCUAUCAUAGGGUCAGUAAGGACUAACCAAAUCCUAAAACUAUGUGAUCUACUAGUCUGAUAUUCUGUUCUAUACAUGACACGGUUAUGCAUGUCUGAUUAAUCUGAUGUAUAUAUAUUCGAUAUCUGUAUAUGAGCAUGUAAGCAUGAUAAUUCUGAUUAUGUAUGUCUGAUUGAGAUGGGAUUUAUAUAUGUGAAGGAAGUGUUCUGUAUGACGUUCAUUGCCUAUAUUUUGGCAGUUUGGCUGCACUUUAUCUGAUAUGUGUCGUAAUGGCACGAUAUGGUGUGUAAGGUUGAGUGGGUGUUUUUAACCCCCCAUGGUGUGAUGGGAUGGUCGGAGUUGGUGUGUAGAGGAUGGGGGUAAGAUUUUGUUUAUCUGAUCUGCUUAUCUGUAUCUGAAAUAGACAUGGGUUUGAAUCUGUAUCUGACUAUUUAUGAGAUUUUCGUAUGUUUUGCAUGUCUAUUUCUGUUGGGUUACACACUGAGUUUACAAAAACUCACGUAUGUUCUGUUCAGGUAAUCCACAAACUUAGGCGGAUCGGUGCAGCGGAGUCUCGCGAUGACCACUAGACUAUGGACUGACUCUAAGUAAAGGUUUAUUUUAAAAUAAGGUUUAAUUCUGAGAGUUUUGUAAUAUUUGGACUCUCCAGAUUGUUUGAAUUAAUUUUGGGAUUUGGAUUUUUCGUUUAAAUACUUGAAUUAUGUCGGUUGCCUAAAAACUUGGUAUUAUUAAGAGCAAAGAUUUUCCAAACUCUCGAAUGGGAUUAUAAGGAAACAACGAUUACUAAAACUUUUGUUGUAAACUGUAUUUUGGCAAAUAAAUCUGUUAAGAAACGUUUUUGACGAUAGACAUAAACAAAUAUGAGUUUUUAAGCUGAAAUGAUUUAACAUAACGACUCCCUUUUCAAAACUCAUUCUUUGUGACAUCUCUGGAUUUGGCUAUAACGUUUAGGUUGGGUUUGGGGUGUUACAAAUUAUGCUUGAACACACUAUGCACCCCUAUCGAAUAGCGUAAAAAUGAUUUGUUGAACUAUUAAAUUAUGCUACGUCAGUGAAUCUUUGACUUUAUAAUUGUGUUGCUACCAUUGAUUUCGUUUGAAUGAUAAUUGUUCUACUUAACUAUAGUAAGAGAAACUAAAUUAUCGUAUUACUAGGAUUUUCAUGUAAACAGGAUUAAUAGGAUCCACAUGCAUGUUCGAAUAUUGAUUGGAUUUAUUGUAAGAUGUCUCCCAUUGAGCUUGUCAAGCUUAUUCUGCCUUAUUUUCAAUCGUUCAGAUAAUUCAACGGAUUAAGAAGUGGAAUCCACAUAUGGAGAAUCUCAACUUGUCGUGGGCUUAAAUUGAAUUUUUUUUAUAUAAAUAAUUAUUUUUCGUUCUUAUAAUCAUUGUCAUAAUUGCUUAUAGGUUUCAUGAUUUGAGAUUUAGGAUUUCACAAAUUAUUCAUUUAGGAUGCAUUUUACGAGUAAUUAGGAAAUCUUGUAAUUUGCAAGUUUACUGUUUAUAAAUAUUUUAGGGUUAUAUUAAUACGAUUGAGUAUGGCUCUUAUUUAUGUAUUCGCCUAAUAUGAAGUAGGUCGAGAAAUCAAAAAUUUGAUUCGAGAUGGUUCAAGCCAUGUCAGUGGUUAAUGUAAUCUAUUGAGAUCGGGUCUACUAUGUAGGCCGGGUUGGGGAGGUUACAUUAAGUACCAAAUUUAAAAAAAAAGGUGUUAAAUCUAGGUGUCAAAUUAAGGGGAAAUGUCAAGUUUAAGUAUCAAAUUGAAAAAAAUAUUUUAAGUAUCAAAUUAAAAAAAUUAUCAAAUUCAAGUACUAAAAUAAAGCUUAUAAAUUAUUAAAUCAUGAAAUAUGUAAGGGAUUAAAAGAUACAAAAAGUUUCUUUUUAGCUUUAAUGUUUAUGAGUAAGAUUUACUGAAUGUAAAGUUAAAGGAGACCUCUGGGUUUAUGUUUUAUUUAUCAUUAAAUGACAUUUUCUGAGAAUGAAACAAAACAAUAAAUUUAUAAAAAAAUCUAUAAUUAUUUACUAAAAUAAAAUUCUAAUAUAUAUUUUUUUUAAAAAUAUUUUCAUUCACCCAUAUUGUAGUGACAAAAUCCAAUCAUUUAUAAACAAAUGAUAUUUUUCAAGUUCAAAAAAUGGAAAGUCUAAAAUUGCUUGAGUUUGGUUAAGCUUGUGAACUUUGCAAGAGAACUGUAUCUAGCAUGUAUAUAUCAUUCCUCCUUUUAGGUUGUGUUUGUCUUGCAACAACUUCCGGAGGAUGGAUUGUUUUUUUUGAAAAAAAAAUGAUAUUUUUUAGUAUUGAAAUAAUUUUGUAUAAAAUUUUUUAUUUGAAUUUUUUAAAAUAAUUUUUUAUAAAUUAUUUUCAGAGAAAUAAAAACAACAUAAAUUAUAUUUGAUACAAAAUAUUAUAGAAACGUAUUUUUUAAAAAAUCAAAAAUUAUUUUUUAAUAAAAUAAUAUUUUGUAAUAAAUAAUGUAUUAUAGUAAGCAUUCUUCUGUUUAAGAAUCGAGAUAUCUGUCCAAGCCCAAAAGCGUGCUCAAAGUAUAGGCUUGGGCAAAAAAUAGGCAUGUUUAAAAUAUAGGUUAGACUUGAGCUUCAACAUUCAAGGCUCGAUCUUGUUCAAUUUUAUACUUUUGUAAUAUGAUUUUAUUUAUUUUUAUAUAUUAUGUAAUAUAAAUCACAUAAAAUAAAUAAUAAUAUAAUACUAUAGAUAGAUUAAAAAACAUGUCAAGUUGUCUAUGUUUAAAAUUUUACUAAUAAGAAAAAAAUCUAAAAUAUUAAAUAUUAUGAGCAAGCUAGAAUAAGCAUGAGGUAGUUAUUUAUAAACAUAGGCAAAGCAGGUUUGAGCAAAAUUUAUAUUUAUAUUUUUAGGCUGGUCUUGACUUGGUUAAGGCAAAUAUAAAGUUACUAACAUCAUAGAUAAAUUAGACUUGAACCUAGCCCGACUCAAACUAUGAACACUUUUAAUAAUAAAAAUUUAAUAUUAACAAUAUCUAAUUAAAUCUUAUUUUGAAAUUAUAUAUUAUAUGGGGGAGAACAAAAUAUAUAAUGACUGAAUGAAAUGAAAUAGGACUUAAAUAGAUACACAUAUUUAUUUUAUUAAAAUAAUCACAUUUUAUAAUAUAAAAUAUGUAUUACUAAAUAUUUAUAAAUUGUAAUAUAUUUAUUAUCAAAAUAUUAUAAAAAUUUUAAUAUGAUAUUCAAAUCUAUAUAAAAAAAAGUUACUUUUUACCACUUUACUUUUAAAGGAGUUUUUAUUUAGUUAUUAAACUUUGAAAGUAGAUAACAUGAUCAUUAAAAUUUAUAUUUGUCCAAAAUAUUAUUUUAUUAAUAUUUUUUAUUCUUUGUUUAUAUAUCCUCAUAUCAAUUUGAGUACCAACAUUUUUUUUAAUUUACUAGAAUAAAUUAUUUUGUUAUUAUGUUAUUAAUAAAUUAGACAAUUAAUCAUUUUAUUAUUCAAGAGGUUUGGACUUAGUUACCUAACUAUUAAAAUUAUCUAUUUUAACAUUAAGAUUAUUGAGAUAAUAUUUUUAGAGAUUAAUAAUUGAAUGUCGUGGUAUUAUCAUGACACAUUUUAGAUGAUACAUACGAUUAUCACUUCUUCUUCUAGUGUACCGCAUAAAUUUUGAAAUCUAAAGACAAAUUAUAAUUUUUACCUUAAGAAAACCCAACUUUAAAAAAUUAUAAUCUAGUGAACAAAUUGUUUGUUAAAAUUUAUAUGAAUAAUAUUUGAUCCAUCAUUAAUAAUUCAUUGUCAAAAUGACUAUUAUAAAAUAUUUUUAAAUUUUUAUUUAUAUUAAAAUGUGUUGAAAUAAAAUUUGAAUAAGCAUUGAAAUUUUAUGUAAUUAGGAAAUAAAUUUUACAUUAUUUUAUUUUACUAAAUUAAAAUGAUAUUUUAUUUUAAUUAUACCUUUUAAAUUUGAAAUUUUUAUGAACAAAUUAGAUUAUCCAAACUAAAAAAAGAAAAAAGAAGUAGUACUUAAAGUAUUUGAUAUACAUUUCAAAUAUUAUUAAUUUGUAAUUAUUUAUCUUUAAAAUUAAUAAAUUUAUUAAGAUAUUAUAUGAAAUUUAUGAAGUAUGCAACUUUUACUAAUAAUUUCAUUUAAUAGAGUUUUUAACAUCUAAAAACACAUAAUUUCAAACUUGAAAGUUUAAUAAUAUUUGUCAAUAUGUUCUUAUAAUUUAUAUUAAUAGCUUUUGUAAGAUUUUAAACAAAAUUUAUCAUAAAAUUAAAAGUUUAGAGGAUGUAACUGUAGGUUAAUGAACUACAUUAUAAUUUUAUUUUAUUAACAUACUUCAAUAGAGGACUUUUAUUAAUUUAAAAUUAAAAUAAAUUAAUGAGAAUUUAAUAUUUAAAUUUUAUUUAUCUUGAAGUAGAUUAAUAUAUGGUGAAUUCUAUUUUCAGAUAUUAAUUUUAGUGUAAAUUGAAAUAUUACUUAGAUUAUAUAUAUAUAUAUAUGUAUUAUUUUUAAAAACUUAAAAAGGUAUUUUGUUGUUACUUGGAAGUUUCACACUUAUAUGAGUAUAUGAAGUUUAAGCUUAAUGUUUAAAAUAUAUAUUAUUUAUGCAGUUGUUAGUUUGAGUUUCACACUAUCAACUAAAGACAAUUCUACUCCUAAAUGUACAAAAUUAUCAACUAAUGAAAAGGAAUAAGCUCUAGAGUUUAAGGACCAUACCUUCCACCCUCUCCAUCUUUUAACAGCAAGCAGGAAUCUUUGAGGUAAUCAACGGCUUCCAAAACUUGAAUCCUCACUUCUUCAACUGAGUCAGCCUUGCCAAAUAACUCCAAACUCCAAGCAUAUCGCACCAAAUCUUCCACAUCAAUUGAAUGAUCCUCUGGAUAUAAAGCACACAAUAAGAAGCAUUUCUGGUUCGUCUCUUUCUUCAAAUGCUCGUAACUUAUCUUGAUACACAAGUAGGCAUUUUUUUCUUCUUCUCCAAUGUUACCGAUUUCCACUAAUCUACUGCUUUCAAGUUUCUCGCAGGCCACUUCCCAUCCUUUACGGAUCUUUGUACUUUUUAGAGCCGUUGCUAGCGUUACAAUCGCUACCGGUAGACCCUUGCAUUCUUUUGCAACUUUCUCAGCCUCCUCAAGAAUAUCCCUUGAAACUCUUUCAUGAAGGUUAGCUUUCAUUCUGAAUAGUGUCCAUGCUUCAUUAUCAUCCAAAACAUCAAUUGGAACAAAAACUUGACAUUUCAUAGAUUCGCAUACUUUCAUGAGACGUGUUGUCAAAAUGAUUUUACAUCCCUUCCCAUUUUCAUUUAGCGGAAUGCCUAUGUCAUUCAAGUGGACCUCAUUCCACAUAUCAUCAAGGAUUAUGAGGACUUCUUCUUUUUCCAUUCGAAGCCAUAAUUCUUCUGCUCUCCCUUUUUUAGUUUUACUCUUGAACUCUAAGAACAAGAAAUCUGCUAUUUUAUCUUGAAUAUUUUCAAUGAUUGAUUUUUGGGACACCACAACUUCAAUAACUUUACUAAAACAUCCUAAUUCUUUGGUUUUCUUGCUGACUUGUUUGACUAAGGUGGUUUUGCCCACCCCUCCCAUCCCCCACACUCCGAUCAUGUUAACUUUAUCGUCCUUUAAUGCUUCCAUGAUCUUGUUGAAUGCAGCAGUUGAAGAUUUGGAAGACAAAAUAUCUUUAGAUGUGAAGAAUUCUAAGCCAGGAAACUCCGCACGACGGCCGAUUCUUUUAAAAUGGGAGUCCUCUACAAGUUUGCUUAUAUAAACUAUCUUCUUCUCAAUCUCCUUGCUUAAUUGAUAUCGCCAACACCAAUUAGGACACAAACGGAAGCAUCUCUUAUUUUCUUCAACUCUGCUGUCCAAAUUCUGUACAUCUUUCAAGGCAUUUUCUACAUUUGUCAGCCAUUCAUCUACAUAUUCCUCAAUUACUUGAGUUUGAAUCUGCAAUUUUGCCUCCUUAACGUCUUCUUCAACUCGAGUUUGUUCUCUAUUCAGAUUGUUUUGCUGUUGGUGGAGGUCAUCAAUUAACUUAUGGAAACGAAAUAAGUAGCGAAGGCGACGUUCUAUUGGCUUCACCAAAUAGUCAACCAUCAGUGUUCCUACGGUAUUAGAAGCAGCACCCGAGAAGAACUCUCCCGCCAUUGUCGUGAAUCUGAAUUGAAAUAACAAUUCUGCUAAGCUUAAGCAAAAUGGUAGACAAUAUACAGUUCACGUGAACCACAAAAAGAAAUGAAAGAUGGUGACGAAAAAGUUGAAGCUUACCACUUGAGAUGAAGAUGAAGAUAUAAUAUAGGGAAUGUUUUAAAAAAGCAGAGUUGAAAGGUGGGUCUCCUUGCUUCACACAAAAUGCUCCAACUUUAAAUCUGAUACCAAAACAAUUGAAGCUGUCUACCAAAAUUUCAAAAUUGCAAUAAAGUGCUAAUGAAAUAAUACAUAUAUAUAUAUAUAUAAUUUUUACAUUUUGUAAUUUAAUUUAAGAGUUUAACCUAGGUUAACGUCACCCUACAAAUAAAAUUUAAUAAACAUAAAAUACAAAAUACUUUUCAUAAUAAUAAUAAUGUUGAUACAAUAUUCAACAGGGAGGAAAACAAAGAGGAUAUGAUGGUUCGGUGGAGGCUAAUUUAUCUGCAAAGAGCCAAAAAAGGCAAAAGAAAUAGAGAGAAAGUUAAGGUGGGGGAAUAAAAGAAAAGAAAAGAGAAUGGGAGUGGGAGUGGGAGUGGAGAAAAAGAAAAUAGGAGGUAGCUUCUUCCUUUUCCUGUUAAAAGGAGGAGACUGGAAAUCAAGCUAAAGGAAUAACUUGAUUUUGACUACCAUUUCAUUUUUAUUUAUUUAUCUUUUUACAUAAUACAUAUUAUCCAUGUGAAAUUGAUGAUUUAAAAUAAAAAUUCAUGUGUUGAAUUUUUAUUGGUUGGUUUAGUAAUUAUUAUGAGUGUUGACACUAGAUACCAUAAUAAUAUACAUAUUAAUAGUUCAGGUAUCACAUUGAACAAUUCAAAGACCACUUUAGUAAACAAAAAUAAAGUACAGGGGCUUAAUUGGACGUUUUGAAAGUUUAGGGGCCACACUAGAACAAACCCAAAAGUAUAAGGGCUUUUUAGGAUAUUAUCUCUUUUUUGAAUUUAAUGGUAUCUCGUAAUCAUGUUUGCAUAUAAAUCUUAUUUUGGUAAUGGAUGGUUCAAGGGAUCUCAAGUGAAGCUUUGAUACAUUAUUUAUAUUUUAUUUUAUUAAAGCUAAAUGUGAUUAAACUGGAAACACAAAAUAUGAUGCAACAAAAUAAGGAAUUGAGUUUAAUAGCUAAAACAAAAGCAGUACUUAUGAGAAUAAGGAAGAGAUUCGUGUCUCCAAACUUACCUCAAUUCAUCACUGUUUAUUAGCUGCUGCUGCUAUAAAUGGAACUUCAACUGCAGCAAAAACACAAAGUAAAAGCUGGUUUUUUUUUUGGGGGGGGGCAAAUAAAAGAAAACAAAAGAGAAUGGGAGUGGAGAAAAAGAAAAUAGGAGGUAGCUUCUUCCUUUUCUUGUGAAAAAGGAGACUGGAAAUGAAAACUAAAGGAAUUUUGAGAAAUUAAAGAAGAGAAAAGACCAGAUUUUAAUUUUUCCUAAGAGAAAAAAAGAUGGUGAGAAGGGUCGCAGUGGGAACCUUAAUUAAACAGAGAUGACAAAAUGCUGAGCAAAGAAACAAUGAAUACAAAGGCCCCUCAAAAUACCAGGAUUCAAAGUGUAAAAAAAAAAAAAAGUACCAUGUGAUGUCUGAAAAUUAUUCCAAGAUUUUCGAGAUAUAUAAAAAUUAUCUCAAGAUUCCUGAAAAUAUUUUAUGAGUUAGGGUUAGAGUUGACUAAAAAAAAUAAAGAGCAUGAAGAGCUGUCCUCUUGGUGAAAUUUGUAGGAGCUUUCCUUUGACAUAUAUUUUCAUAUGAAUGCCAUUUUAAUCCUUUUAUUUUAUUCUGCUAAUCACAUGGUUUCCUCUGAUUAUGGGAUUUCCCACGAAGUUUUAUAAUCAUUAUGAGAUUUAUUAUAACAAACUUUAUAACGUGGGAAUAUUAUAUUAUUUAUACUAUUUUUUUUGACGUGGGAAAAUAUUCGUAUCUUCGAAUAUAAUAUUAAAAAAUAUAAAAAAAUAUUUUUCAUAGAUACCACUGUAUAGAGGUAUUCAUGGCCAGGUCUAACUAAAUUAUUAGGCCCGUUCAAUAGUCCAAGACUUAAUUUGACCUAAAAAAUAAGUUUAAAUUUUUGUUCAGACUAAGUCAAAAUUAUAUAUAAUAAGCCAAGCCUAACUCAAUUCAUACAUAGCAAUCAAUAGGAAUGUCAUCACCUUGAGGAAGAGAAUUUUCGCAAAGGAAAAACAGCUUAAGAAUAAAUACUUAUUGAUCUACAACUCUUUACUUGCUAUUUUUUUUUUAAAAAAAAAACUAAAUUAAUCUGUUAUAAAUAUAAAAAAUGGAAGGCUGUAACCUAAGGCAAAGUAGCCUGACGCUAGAUUUCUUCAAAUACUGCUAUUGCAAGAACAAAAAGGUUCAAUAACAUUAUGGGUCCGAUUGAAAACAAAGCAAACAAGAGAUAGAACCAUCCGUAAUCAGGAAUUCCACAUUCAGUGCUAAUUCCCGCUCCACUCAAUACCACAACCUUGGUGCUGCAACAUACAAAUAGCAGUCAAAUCUUUAAGCCAUUGAAAUAAAUUUACAUCCUUUAUUGUGUGUCUACAAAAGAAACAAUAUGCAAAACCAAGGACAAGAAUAACCUUUGGUCAAUGAGUUGAUAUAAGUGGUUUACGUCUUCAGCACUCGGAGGAUCUGCUUGGGGAACCACCUUCUUGUCUGAAGGUGGUUGUGUUUCUCUAACUGGCACCCCUGGGACUGAUAUCCGACACGAUGUCUGUAGAGCCUUGAUAUAAUCUUAUCCUUCUUCUUGAGCUAAACAAUUGCCUCAACCUGUGACCUGAAACGAUGCAUUUGCAAGAACAUCGUAACAACUAUGCAAGCCACACUUACAAAUGAUCAAAGUAACACGUUAUGUGAUGUAUAAGGCUAAAAGAACACCUGCCUGUCAAAAGGCUUCGAAGCUGUUAGAAAUCAAACCAAUUUUUCAAAGUCAAAAAUUACAACCAAAGAGUUUGUAUCCAAAUUGACUUCUAUCUAAUAGAACUUGGUUUUCAAAUUGAAUACAACUUUGCAAAUUGGAUAAAGAUUAUCAUGUUGGAAAUUUCAUGAAAAAUCAAGAUGGUAGCAACAUUGAAAAGUCUUACAAGGCAAGGCAUGUACAAUGGAUAAGUAUUAUCAUAUACUUAAGGGAUAAGAAAUCAUUAAGGCUUACUAUGUCUAUAUAUAUAUAUAUGUAUGUAUAGUUCAUGUGUGUGUGCUGAAAAAAAAGUGAGUAUGAAGAAAAAAAAAGGUGUUGUAAGUAUAGAAAGAAAAACUAGCAGCAGCUAGUAUAGAGAGAAAAAAAAUUAAAAGAGAGCUUGUAUUUAUUUUAUUUGUGUGUAAUAAAAUUAGUAUUUGAGUUAUUUUUAUUAUUACGCUUCCAACAAGUGGUAUCGAGCUAGGUUCGUGUUGACGUUACAAUGGCAAACAAUGAUUCAACCGCAAAUCCCGAAAUUAACGAAGACAAAUUAUGGCAACUGGAGCAUCCAGAUGAAGGCUUUGCUCGGUUCUUAAAAUUGUUGGGACGUUGUUGAAGAAGGAUAUAUUGAGCUCGAAAAUGCAGCUGCCGAAGCGGCUUUGACAAAUGAAGAAAAAAGAGUAUUGAAAGAAGCUCGUAAAAAGGAUAAGAGGGCGUUGUUUUUUAUUUUUUCAAGGUGUUGAUGAAUCAACCUUUGGAAAAAUUUCAGAUGCGAAGACAUCAAACAAAGCAUGGGGAAUUUUGCAAAAAUCCCUUCAAGGAGCGGAAAAGGCUAAAAAGGUACGUUUACAAACCCUUAGAGCCGAAUUUGAGACGUUGAAAAUGAAACCAUCGGAAAGUGUUGAUGAUUAUGUUAUUUGGGUGAAAGCAGUGGUAAAUGAAAUGAAAAGAAAUGGAGAAACACUUGAUGAUGUCAGAGUAAUGGAAAAAAUUUUGCAGUCAUUGACACGCAAAUUUGAUUAUGUGGUGGUUACCAUUGAAGAGUCAAAAGAUUUAUCACAAAUAUCAAUCGACGAACUUGUGGGUUCCCUCCAAGCCCAUGAGCAUAAAAUGAAGCUAAAUGAUGAUACUGGAAAUUCGGAGCAAGUCUUGCAUAGCAAGUUGUCCUUUAAUGAAAGUGGAGCUAGGGAUAAUUUUGGACAAUGAACGAGCAAUCAUGGAGGAUACCGUAGAGGAUAUAGAGGUAGAAAUAGAGGUGGACGAGGAACACGUGGACGAGGCAAUCAAUCAUAUGGUAAAGUCCCAACAAGUGACGAAUAUCAAACAUCAAGUCGUGGACAAGGAGCUCGAGGCCGAGGUCGAGGCAAAGGUAGAUUUCAACAAGGAAAUAAAUCUCAGGUACAAUGUUAUAAUUGCAAUAAAUAUGGCCAUUAUAGUUACAAGUGUAGAUCAAAUCCCAAGACGGAGGAGAGAAAUCAUGUAACAGCAGCUAAAGAAGAAGAAAACGAAGAAUCUAGUGUAUUCAUCACUGAUAAAGAAAGUGAAAAAUCAAGAAAAAGAAUUUGGUAUCUUGAUAAUUGCGCCAACAAUCACAUGUGUGGCCGAAAAGACUUAUUUUCAGAGUUGGAUGAGAAUAUUCAUGGACAAGUAACGUUUGGAGAUGAAUCGCAUACCACGGUCAAAAGCAACGGCAAAGUCACUAUUACAAAAAAGAAUGGAAAAAAGAAGUUAAUUUCAAAUGUUUAUUACGUACUAGCUUUGAAAAGCAACAUUAUCAGCUUUAGACAGCUUUUAAAAAAAAGAUAUGAAGUACAUAUGAAGAAAAAAUAUUUGGUAUCUUGAUAAUUGCACCAGCAAUCACAUGUGUGGCCGAAAAGACUUAUUUUCAAAGUUGGAUGAGAAUAUUCAUGGACAAGUAACGUUUGGAGAUGAAUCGCAUGCCACGGUCAAAGGCAAAGGCAAAGUCACUAUUACAAAAAAGAAUGGAAAAAAGAAGUUCAUUUAAGAUGUUUAUUACGUACCAGCUUUGAAAAGCAACAUUAUCAGCUUUAGACAGCUUCUAAAAAAAGGAUAUAAAGUACAUAUGAAGGAUUCCAUGCUUGCCUUAAAAAAUAAAAGUGGUGAAUUAAUUGCCCAAGUUGAUAAGACACGUAAUCGUUUGUUUACUAUUGACAUUGAAUCUGGAGAGGUGAAAUGCAUGAAGAAUGCAAUUAAAGAUGAACCAUGGUUGUGGCAUUUAAGGUUCGGGCAUCUUGGAUUUUCCGGUCUGAAGCUAUUGUCAAAAGAAAAUAUGGUGAAUAAGUUGCCAGAAAUUAAUCCUCCUGAUCAACUGUGUGAAGCCUGCAUUAAAGGAAAACAACACAGACAGAGUUUUGAAACGGGAAAAACUCGAUGAGCCAUGAGACCAUUGGAGAUCGUACACUCUGAUAUAGCAGGUCCUUUUGAUAUACCAUCACUUGGUAGAAACAUGUAUUAUGUUACUUUUAUUGAUGAGUUUAGUAGAAAAAGUUAGAUAUAUCUUCUUAAAACAAAAUUAGAAGCAUUUGACAAGUUUAUCGAGUUCAAAGCCAUGGUAGAAAAACAGAGUGGACAUUUCAUUAAAAUACUCAGAACUGAUAGAGGUGGUGAGUAUACUUCAAAGCUAUUUGAAAGCUUCUGCAAGGAACACGGAAUCAUUCAUCAGUUGACAACUGCGUACACGCCACAACAAAAUAAAGUCGCUGAAAGAAAGAACCACACUAUUCUUGAUAUGGUAAGAAGCAUGGUUAAAGGUAAGUAUUUACCAAGAACUUUCUGGGCUAUUUAUUUAUUGAACCGGUGUUCAACAAAAGGUGUGAAAUACAAGACGCCAAACGAAGCUUGGAGCAAUCAAAAGCCAGGAGUCAAAUAUCUCAAGAUUUUUGGAUGCAUCGCAUAUGCUCAUGUUCCUGACCAAACGAGAAAUAAGCUUGACGAUAAAGGAGUAAAAUGUAUUUUCAUUGGCUAUAAAAAGAGAAGCAAGGCAUAAAGGUUAUACAACCCUCUCAUCAAGAAAGUUAUUAUUUCAAGAUAUGUUGAAUUCGAUGAAACUGAUUACUAGAGAUGGAGCGAAGAAGAGAAGAAAAUUGAAGGAUUAUUUUUCAGUGAUGACAAAGACGAUGACUUCAUAAUCAAGAAAAAGGCGACGAUCAAAUCCCUCCUCCAAGUCCUAUUGCAACAACUCCUACAACAUCAUCAUCAGCAACCAGUAGCAAUACUAGCAACUCAGAGGACGCACCUGCAAGAAUACGUAGUUUACGCGAUAUUUAUGAGAUUACAGAACCCAUAGAAACAAUACUCGAUUAUUCAUUAUUCUGUUUGAUAACAGAAUGUGAUCCAAUAAUAUAUGAAGAUGCAAUCAAAGAUGUUAAAUGGAAGAAGGCAAUGGAUGAAGAAAUUGCAGCAAUAAAAAGAAAUGACUCAUAACAGCUAACAACUCAACCAGAAGGACAUAGUCCAAUUAGAGUUAAAUGGGUGUACAAGACAAAGACUAACAAAGAAGGAAAAUUGGAGAAAUACAAAGCAAGACUAGUUGCAAAAGGCUACAAGGAAAGAUAUGGUGUAGACUAUGAUGAAGUAUUUGCUCCAAUCGCCAGAAUUGAUACUAUAAGGCUUCUCAUGGCAAUUGCAGCACAAAAUAAAUGGAAAAUUUAUCAGAUGGACGUGAAGUCAGCAUUCCUUAAUGGCUACUUGGAAGAAGAAGUCUACAUUGAACAACCACCUGGAUAUAGCAAACAAGGACAAGAAGACAAAGUUUAUAGCUUAAAGAAAGCUUUAUAUGGACUGAAGCAAGCCUCGAUAGCAUGGAACACAAGAAUAGAUGAAUACUUUCAGAAGAACGAGUUCAUGAAAAGCCCAUACGAACAUGCUCUAUAUAUGAAGAAAAAUGAAGUUGGUGACAUCAUGAUCAUGUGCUUAUAUUUGAAUGAUAUGAUUUUCACAGGAAACAAUCCAAGUAUGUUCAAUGACUUUAAGAAAGCUAUGACUAAAGAAUUUGAAAUGACAGAUAUAGGUGAAAUGUCAUACUUUCUUGGAGUCGAAGUGAAACAAAUGAAAGUUAGAACAUUUGUGUCUCAAAAGAAGUAUACAGAACAAAUUUUAAAAAAAUUCAAUAUGAAAUAUUGAAAGCCAGUAGCCACGCCAGCAGAACCAGGUACGAAAUUAAGUGAAGUUUAAGGUACUUGACUAUCACGCGACCAGACAUCAUAUACGCAGUGGGAAUAGUUAGCAGAUACAUGGAGAAGCCAAAAACAAGAUUACUUGAUUGCAGCAAAGAGAAUUUUGAGAUACAUCAAAGGUACGAUGGAUCAGGGUUUAUGGUGGUGAUUAUGGUGAUUAUGGUUGGUUAUUCAGAUAGUGAUUAUGGUGGUGACUUGGAUGAUCGCAAAAGCACAUCCGGAUAUUUAUUCCAUAUUGGCUCCGCAGUAUUUUCAUGGUCAUCGAAAAAGUAACAAACAGUAGCCCUUUCAACAUGUGAAGUAGAAUACAUGGCUGUUGCAACAUGCACGUGUCAAGCAAUUUGGUUGAAGAAUAUUUUGGGUGAAUUAUCUAUUAUACAAGAAGGUCCAAUUACAAUUUAUGUUGACAACAAGUCCAUAAUAUCUCUUGCAAAGAAUUCAGUGUCUCAUAGUCGAAGCAAGCAUAUCGAUACAAAGUAUCAUUUUAUUCGAGAGCAAGUGAAAAAUAAAAAUGUGGAGUUAGUUUACUGCAGAACAGAAGAUCAACUGGCGGGCAUUUUUACGAAGCCAUUGAAAGCGGACAUAUUCCAUAAACUCAAAGAAAAGCUUGGAAUGAAAAGUUCGAUUUGAGGGGGAGUGUUAGAAAUCAAACCAACUUUUCAAAGUAAAAAAUUACAACCAAAGAGUUUGUAUCCAAAUUGGCUUCUACCUCAUACAACUUGGUUUUCAAAUUGAAUACAACUUUGUAAAUUGGAUAAAGAUUAUCAUGUUGGAAAUUUCAUGAAAAAUCAAGAUGGUAGAAACAUUGAAAAGUCUUAUAAGGCAAGGCAUGUACAAUGGAUAAGUAUUAUCAUAUACUUAAGGGAUAAGAAAUCAUUAAGGCUUACUAUGUCUAUAUAUAUGUAUGUAUAGUUCAUGUGUGUGUGCUGAAAAAAGAGUGAGUUUGAGAGAAAAAAAAGGUGUUGUAAGUAUAGAAAGAAAAACUAGCAGCAGCUAGUAUAGAGAGAAAAAAAAAAUUAAAAGAGAGCUUGUAUUGUAUUUUAUUUGUGUGUAAUAAAAUUAGUAUUUGAGUUAUUUUUAUUAUUAUGCUUCCAACAUAAGCGCCUCUGGUCUACUUGUAGAAGCCUGCAUACUGAACAUAGGCACUUUACGCUUAAAAGCUCCUAUCAAAAAUAGAAAACAACCAUAAUAGCAGAGGACCGCAUCAAAUGCAAGUUCAAAAGUGCAGGUUUGUAUGCUGAGAAUGGUCACUUGAUGAAAAAUGAAGAGUAAAAAGUAAUAUGAAUUCAACACCUAGCUUUAUCAGAAUAGGAUAAAAGGAAACAUAUAUUCAAUUAGGUAGACAAAAAAAAAAUGCAGCUAUAUCUGAAAACAUGAUCCAUUUAUAGACACCUCUACUGUGGAUGCAGCAUUUAAAAUAUUCUAGAACAAAAUAUAUGAACUGUGGAAGUAUGGUGCAUAUAUACCGAACAAAUCAGUGGGACGGCGACCGCAAUAACUGAAGGCUGGAAAACAAAAAAACAGAGAGUUGAAAGAAAAAAAAAGUUCAAAAAUGGUGGAAAUUUUUGCGGUUGAGAAUGGACUCAAAGGAGACCCAAGGCUUCGAGCUAUAUCAAACGCAAUAAGGGUUGUUACCUUUGGGUUCUCUGUUAAGAAGCAACAGUGGUGGUCAGUUAACGAUGAUGGACCGGUGGGUGCAUAGUGGACCAGUGGUGAUUGGAGUGGGGGAGGGUGGCUGAGGAAAUCGGGAAAAGAGAAAGAAAGAAAAUGAAAAUGUGACCUAUUUAUCAAUAUGAUUCGUGCCGGUCGGGUCAAGCCAGGCCUGGUAAAAAAUAUCAUAUAUAAGGCUCAGUCUGUUUUAAAAAUGAGUUUUAUUUUUGUUCAAAUUCAUUUUUCGAGUUUAUAUUUUUGUUUAAAUCUCUUACUUUUUGGACAAGCUUUCAAAUCGAGUUCACCGUAAUUACAUUGAACCACACAACUAAAAUGAAAAGACAAAAAAUAAUAUAAUUUUUAGAUUUUUAAUUUGGUAACUAGGUUCACUUUGUUAUUUAUAUAUAUAUUUAUCUAUUUUGAUUCUUAAAUUUGAAAACGAGAUUCAUUUAGGUGCUUAAAUUUAGAUUUAUCAAGAUUUGAUGAUAUGAUCAGUGUUAUUAGAAUAUGAUUGGAUUGGACGAACAAAGAUUAAUUGAUAUAACAAUUCGAACAGGGACGAAGCUAGAAUAAUUUUUUAGGGAGCUGAAUAAAAUUUUAAAUUUUUAUAGUCUAUAUCUUUGUAAUUUUUAAAGGUUUAAAUUGAAUUUUUAUAAUUUUAGGGGGUCAAAUUAUAAUUUUACCUUUACUAAUUUAAAAAUUUUUUAAAAAAUCUAAAGGGCCUAAAUAACAAUUUUCAAUUUUAGGGGGGUUGGCAUGGAUUCACCUCUUGGUUCAAACAAAAUAGUUGAAUUGAUUGACUCAUAAAUUGCUUGGAUUUGGUAAAAAUUAAAUACUGGGUCAAAGAUUGAUAGUUGAACAAGUUGAACCGAUUUAUUGUAGGAGGAAAUCUCUCCACACCUCUAUUUAUUGUAAGAGGGUCCAAUGGAUUAUGAGAACUGAAUGAUAGUGGUUGAUUAGGUAUGUUCUUAGAGAAGACAAUUUAAUUGUUGAUUGUUUGGCUAACUUGAGUUUAAGAUGGAAGAUAGGCCUACUAGUUUACGAUGACGUCUCUAAUGAAGCAUUAAGAAUUCUACAUCAAGAUAAAGCUAGUGGUGCUUUUGAUCAAUUUAAUUUAAUGUAAUUCCUUUAUUUGUCUUAUCACAAAAAAAAAAGUUUAGACUGAAUCCGCAACUUACAAAUAGUGCAAUGACUAAUACUCAGGUGCCACCCCUAUUUCUCGAGGUAGUUUAAAUUUAUUUUAUAUAAAUUUGAUGGUUAGAAUAUGCCAUAAAUUUUUAUAUUCUUCAAAAUUUUGAAAUUUAUUGAAAUAAAAAUAGAGGGGAUAAGUUCCUUAAAAUAAAAGUGUAUUGAUUUGAUUUCAAUUUUUUAAAAAUAUAAGGAUUUAUAACAUAUUUUAAAAAUAAUUAAUUACAUAAAAUAAUUAAUUAUUUAAAUAAUUAAUAUUAAAUUAUUUUAUAUAUUAUAAAUUAUGUGGCAACCACUUAGUUAGUGAAGGACAACAUUAUAUAAAAAAUAUAAAAUCAAAUUUUCAAUAAUACUUAUUAUUAUAAUUAUGAUAAAUAAUAAGUAGUUUUGGUUCAUUAGUUAAUUUUUUAAUUCUUUCAAAAAAAUUAUAGACCCUAAUUUGUGUCUUUUUAGUGUGUUCAUUAUUUUACAAUAUCAUAAUGUAUUUUAUAUUUAUAUAAAUUUUAAUAAGUUAAUAAUUCGUAUUGUAUUCAUUCCCAAUUCAUUAUUUUUCGAAUUAUUACCUCUAGUAUAAUAUUUAAAUAUAUUUAAAAUCUUUAUUAAAAAUUAUUUUUUAUAAUGAUAGUGAAAAAUAAAUAUUUUUAUAUAUUUUAAAAAAAUUAAAAGAGAGAGAGAGAGGACUGGGGUGUUUAAAACUAACCCUUUCAAUGGGUUAGUUUUGAUAUAUAGGUAUAUAUUUUAUUGAAAGGAAAUAUUUCAUUAAUAACUCAAAAAAAAAAAAAAUAAAGCAAUGAUUGAAAAGAGAAAAAAGGACAGCUAAAAUUCCAAGCUAAGAGGUUUGUCCCAUGCGCUUAAUCUUAAGUCCUAUCUCUUUAAUUGAUUCAUAAGUAGAAUAGGAAAAAUAUAAUUUAGGAAUUUCCCACUCACAAUAAUUUAUAUAACAAGGUAACUCUAACAAGAGUAUAAGUUACAUUUUUAGUACUUCUAAGAGUUUAAAUGAAGUACAAAAACUGAAAAUAAGAUUAAAUCUAGAGAUAAUCUUGCAACCUAGCAUUCCGAAUUUAGAUCCAUCAUCGUUUCGACUGUACUUAAAUUAAGGCCUCUUUGACUGCGUAUAAUUCAACAACUUUUGGAGCCAUCAUUUGAUUAUCACGAUCCUCUACAUCACAGACUAUACCAAACCAGCCUACAACUUUCUCCUCAUUAAAUAAUGUGGCAUUAAUAUUGCACUUCAGCACCCAUCCCAUAGGCGGCUUUGACCAGCAACACUAGAAACUGCUCCAGGCUCUUGAAUUUUAUCAAAAGUUCGUUAAUGAUUCCAAUCUUACAUAAAGAGUCAGAAAAAGCAAGGAUAUGAGCAGUUGAAGCAUUUUUCUAUUGUCAUGCAAAAAGGUUCCUAUGGAACCAAAGACUCCACAUAAUGCUUAAAGCUCAACCUAAUAAUUUGCCAUCCAGUAGCAAUUACAAAUAAAUCUGUUAUUGUUAAAAUGCCAUAUUUGAUGAUUCAAGGGUCCAUUAAACUGAUUUUGAUGAUUUUUUUUUACUAUUUAAACAUUUUUCUAUUGAUUUAGUUAACAUUAAUGUCUUGUUUGAUUACGGGUAUAAUAACAUGAAGAAAAUGUUUAUUUAUUAUAUAUGUAUCACAAUAGUUAGACCUAAAAUAAAAAGAAAAUAGUUACUAUAAAUUUAAAUUUAAAUUAAAUUAAAAAGAUGAAUAAUAACCUUUAUAAAAAAUAAGACUUUUUCAAAAUAAAAGAAAAUUUUUCCUUCUAAAAAGGGGAAAGAAGAAUAAAGUACUGAUAUAAUAACUGUUGUAUCAUAUGAAAGGGUCGAUUGUUUAUUAUUCCUAAUAUUAAUACUAAGAAGCUUUCUACCGGAAGAACUCAGCAAAGCCCAACACCUAAAUACUAGGAAGCAAUUAGCUAUUUGCCCAUAUUGACAGAAGAACAUUACAAUAGUAACUCAUCCAAUUUAUAAUUUCAGACCAAGGCUAAAUGCUCAUGCAGUCAGACAUCAUCUUAUGGGCUUACCACAUAUCCAUGUACGGUAGUAUAGCAUAAAAACAGUGUUCUUCAGAGCCAUAUGAAUGGGUAUAGCAUAAAUGCUUGACGAUGGACUAGGAUCUAAUACAUUAAUACCAACGACAUAUUGUUAGUAAUAUAUAAUGAAUCAAAAUUGAUAUUGUGUGAAAAUAUCAAAGAUAAUGCACAUAUGUACCAUCUGAUUGCAUCUGCAACCAAUCUUGUGUGCAUCCGUGUUAAGAUACAGAAAUUAAGGAGUAAAAUGUAUUCUUGAUCAUUAGAGAGAAGCACCAACAGAGUAUUUAAUACCAAAAGUGAGUAACUAUCUGUUAACAGACUCAUAACAAUUAACUCAACUUCAACUAACUAUUUUGACUAGUUUAUACAAUUAAUAUUUCUUUCAUUUCAUAACAUGGCCCAUGCUUCUCGACUUUCACUGCUUCUGCUCGUCGUCCCCUCCUGAGCAAAUAACUCUAAGUUUGCUUCUGAAUUUAUCAAACAAACCAACUGACAAGGGCUUGGUCAGAAUAUUAGCAAUCUGUUCCUGUCCAGAUAUAUGGCCGACUUGAAGUGAUCUAUUUGCCACCUUUUCCCUGACAAAAAAUAAGUCUAAUUCCACGUGUUUGAACUUGGAAUGGAGAACUGGAUUGCUUGCAACAGCAACCGCGACUAAACUAUCACACCAAACCAGUGCUGUAUGAAUUGAGAUUCCGAGUUCCGACAGCAACGACUGAAUCCAGAUCAUCUCUGCAGUGACAUUCGCGAGGCUGCAAUAUUCAACUUCAGCUGUGGAUCGUGAUACUACUUGUUGCUUCCGAGAGCUCCAAGAAAUUGGAUUUCCACCAAGAAACACACAAAAACCUGAUGUGGACCGGCGAUCAUCAAUAUCAGACCCCCAACUUGCAUCAGAAUACCCUUCAAGAAGAAGUUUUGAGCUUCAAGUAAACUGUAAGCCAUAGUCUAGAGUUCCUUGUAAGUAGCGGAGAAUUCGUUUGACAGCUUUGAAGUGAGCAUCUAAGGGUUUAUGCAUAUACUGACAAACCUUGUUGACAGAAAAGGCAAUGUCAGGUCUUGUUAUGACCACAUACUGUAAGGCUCCCACAAUGCUUCUGAAUAAGUGUUCACCCGUCGUUGGCUCUCCAUGUAACACCCCCUACCCGUAUCUAUUGCCGGAAUAGGUACGAGGCAUUACCGGAGUUUACUGAAUAUUUUCAGAUAAUUCUGAGUCAUUUAUUAUUCAUAUUUUGAAAAUAAUCAUAACGUCUCUCUAUUGGGCCCUCGAAGCCCCAAACAUACAUUAAAAACCAAUUAGAAUUAAAUCGGGAUCAUAAAAAAAAUUUCGCAAAAUCUUAAAUUUUAUUUUUAUGUCACACUUGAGUUUAAUAAUUGUCUUUACUUACAUAAUUUCCUUGUAUCAACAUAUCAAAUAUAAUCAUAUGUACAUGUCAUGAAACAUAUCAUUCUCUUACCGUUUCUUCAUAAGUAUAUAUCAAUCAUUUCAUUAUAUCAAUAUUUCAUGUUCCAUCAUUUACAUAUAUUUUAUGCAUAUUUAUUCCGAUAAAGUUUAUAUCAAACUUAACGUAAAUUAUAUUCCAUGUGCUUAUUCUUAUUUCGUUUAUCUAUCUUCAUAAUUAUUUCAUACAACUAUUUUGUACAUAUAUUUCCAUAUGACCAGUUCUUGUAAACAUUUCACACAACCAUUUCAUAUAACCAUUCAUCAUCUGAUACAUAUUACCUGAAUAUCAAUUGUUUAAUAGAUGUCAUCGCGUCUCCCAUCCAUGGUCUUAUUUAUCUUUGACAUGAUGCCAUAGUGUCUUUCAACUAUGGUCUUACUCAUUUUCUGUCAUGUUGCCAUGGUAUCUUUCAACCAUGGUCUUAUUCAUUUCAUGUCACGCUGCCAUGGUAUCUUUCAACCAUGGUCUUAUUCAUUUCCCGUUAUGUUGCCAUGGUAUCUUUCAACCAUGGUCUUAUUCAUUUCCCGUCAUGUUGCCAUGGUAUCUUUCAACCAUGGUCUUACACAUUUCAUAUCAGGUUGCCAUGGUAUCUUUCAACCAUGGUCUUACACAUUUCAUAUCAGAGAGCACACUCCCGCGAACCUCAUCCUUACAGUGAGAUUACCAGUCCAGGCUAAAUCCCCCGUAAUAUAAACUCAUAGAGUAUUGUCGGGAUUACCAGUCCAGGCUAAAUCCCCUGCAACAACAAUUACUCUAAUGAGCUUGGAUCUGAAUUAGCAGUCCAGGCUAAAUUCAGACCCUGAUUCGGAUUAUCCGUCCGGGCUAAAUCCAUUUACACGUAUUCUUCGGGAGGACUAUAUCAGGAUAGGAUCACCCAUCCGGGCUAGAUCCUUUUUACCGUCAAUUCCUUUUCAGAGAUCUAUCGAUUUUUCCUUUCAUUCAACCGGGAUUUCUUCCCCUUUUUAUCAAAUAUGUUAACGUUUCAUCAAUUUUCAAACAAUGAACAUUCAAAUCAUAUUCAUAUCAAAAAAAUACAUUUCAAGCAUUUAAUAAUAUAAUUCAAGUUAUACGAACUUACCUAGCGAAAUUGCAUAAAUAUCAAGAUUCAGGGACAUUUUGGUAAUUUACCAUUUUUCCAAUUUUCACCCGAUCUUAAAUUGACAAUUUCAUUCAAUUCAUUAAUUUAGAUAAUAAAACAAUUCAUUCCCUUCAAUUUGGUUAUUUUGACAUUUUUACAAGAUUACCCCCUGAAGUUUUACUUUUAUUGAAUUUAGUCCUUAAGCCUAAAACAUGCAAAUUAGUCAUGCUAGUUGAAUAUUCAUAUAUGUUUUCCUCCUCCUCCUCUCCAUUCCACAUCCUUAAUGUAUAUAACACAUUUGUAAGUAACAUUAUCUAUAAUCUUUAUUAUUUACUUUUAUGAAUAUUCAAGCUAUCCAUCUGUGUCACAGUCACUAAAUUAUUUAUAUAUGGAGCUUUAGAACUCCAAAUUAAGAUCCGAUAAUUUUCCCUAAAACUAUACUCAUAUAUCUUUUUACCAUAAAAUUUUCAGAAUUUUUGGUUUAGUCAAUAGGCACAGUUUAUUCUUUAAAAUUACCCCUGUUCUGCUGUUUGACAGUUGUGACCCUUCUUCACUAAAAAUUAAUUAUCUCCUCAUACAUAAUUCGAAUGAUGUUCCCAUUUAUUUAUAUUGAAAUUAGACUCAUUCAAGAUUCUAAAAAUAUAAAUUUAAGCCCAUAAUUAUUUUAUCCAAUUUUUUAUGAUUUUUCAAAGUCAGAACAGGGAACCCAAAAUCAUUCUGACCUUAUCUCACAAAAUUUAUUAUAUCUCAUGAUUUAAAAUUCCAUUGCUUACAUAAUUUCUUUUAUAAUAAACUAGACUCAAUAAUAUUUAAUCUCAUAUUUUAUUCAUCCUAUAAUUCGAUUUGUACAAUUUUUGGUGAUUUUUCAAAGUUAGACUACUGCUACUGUCCAGAACUGUUUUAGUGUAAGAUAUUAAUUACCAUGUUUAUAACACCCUUAUUUUCUUUUUCUACACUAUUUCUUUUUCUACACUAUUUCUCAUCACUUUCUCUUAUUUUCUCUUCACUAACAUGACAAGAACAUAAGACCAUAUAUAAGAAAACUCUAAAUCAACUUCAAUUCCAUGCUUUUUCAACAAUAUUAAACUUAAAAAUAUAUUGAAACUAGAUGUUCUUACCUUUUCUUAUUGACUUCAAUCUUUAACUUGAUUUUUCUCUCUCCUCCAGCUUCAAUUUCUUGAAUCCAACUUGAUAUUCUUGCUCCCCAUCAUCUCCUUGCUAUAUUUCUCUCUUGAUGGCUAUGGAAAUUCUUUCAAUUUUUAGGUGAAAAUAAUGAAUUUUUGGUGGAAUGACUAAAUUGUAAAGAAAGAAAACUUAUUUUCUUCUUCUUCUCUUCCGUUGGUUUGCAUGGGAAAGGAAAGAUGAUGAUAAUUCUUCAUCUUUCCUUCCUUUUAUACUAAAUAAAUAAUAAUAUAAUAAUAAUAGAUAUCUCAUAAAAUAUUAAUAAAUUAAUAUUUAUCUAAUUAAUUAAUUUAAAAUAUCAUCAAAAUAAUCAUUACAUUCUAGAAUUCUCUCUCUUACUAAUUGACCAUUUUUCCCUUCAUGAUCUUUUAGAAUUCCAUCCUUGAGUCCUCACUUAAUUUGGUAAAAUUUCCAUUUAGUCCCUCAUAAUUUUUCACCUAUUUAAUUUGGUCCUAAUUCAUCAAUUUUUCUUCGUUUCUAGAUCAUUCCACCCUUAAAAUAUUUACACCAUUAGUCCUUCAACUUUUUUAUAUUUGCACUUCAACCCCUUAAAUUUUAAGUAUUUAUUCUUGUGCAACAAUACUUUUCUCAUCUUUGCAAUUUAGUCCUUUCUUGAAUUAAUAUAUCAUAAUAUUAUUCCCAAUAUUGACAUAACUCAAAAUUUCCCUUUUUGUCACUUUAUUUUCUUAUUUUACUAUAUCACGGAUAAUAUUUUACUGUAAAAUUUUUCGGGGUAUUACACUCCAUCAUGAACGGAUAAUCUGGAUGUGGUCACCAUUAGCGUAGGAGAGGCCUUCGACUGAUCCAUGGACGCUCACUGAAGUAAAUCCAUGAUGUACUUCCUUUGGUUCAAAAAAAAUUCACUCGGAGUAUGAGUCACCAAGAAAAUAAUGCAACGGACCUAAAUCCUUCAAAGAAAAAUUUUCAUCAAGAGCCUUGACAAAUUGAUCAAUGCCACAAAAGUCCGGGCCAGUGACUAUGAUGUCAUCAACGUAGACUAAGACAUAGAUAAACCGAGACCCUAUCCGUCGAAUGAAAAGAGAACUGUCAGCCUUGGAUGCGACAAACUGAGAUGCCAGCAAGAAAUCUCGCAGUUAUGAAACCAAGCACGAGGUGCCUGUUUAAGGCCAUAAAGCACCUUGUGCAACUUGCAGACAAGCUGUUGACCGUCAGGGUGGUGUUGCUCAAAACCAGGUGGCUGUUGCAUGUAAAUUUCCUCAUGUAGAUCCCCAUUCAAGAAGGCAUUGUUGAUGUCGACUUGACGGAGAGACCAUCCUCUAGACACGGCAAGAGCCAAAACUACACGGAUCGUCGUUGGCUUGACCACAGGGCUGAAAGUCUCUAAGAAAUCGACACCUGCCUCUUGUAAAUAACCCUUAACAACUAACCUCCCCUUGUAGCAGGCUACCGAACCAUCUCCAUGUCGUUUAACCUUGAAAAUUCAUUUGCAGCCAACAGCACGACGGCCUUCAAGUAAUAGGACAAGAUCCCAUAUGUUUUUAGCUAAUAAGGCCCCAUAUUCAGCUUGUACAGUUGCAGUCCAGGCAGGACUUUUGAAAGCCUCAGCAAUGGUGGACAGCUCUUUUUCAUUCAAGGUAGAGCAAAAUAGUUUUGGCUUAAAGAUGCCAUUCUUCGACCGACUUCGUAUUGGGUGACUGUUAACAGAAAAAGGUGGCUGUGCAACAGUAUCACCUGAAGCACUGGUUGGAGAAAAAGAUGGUUGUGCAACAAUAUCACCGGGAGCAUGGGAUGGAGAUGAGCUGGUCAGUGAUACUGACUCCCGUGGCGAAGGUAAUGGACUAGGAAAAUGAGAAACAAUAGGUGGCUGUGUGGAGGAGUCAGGAGAAGUAGAAUUCAGCGAGGCCACCACUGGAACUGGAGAGUUUUGAUGAUGAAAAUGGACAGGAGACCCAGCUAUUGGCAGAGAAAAACUAGCCUGGAAUGGAAAACUUGUUUCAUCAAACAGAACAUGACGGGAAACAAAAAUGCGACCAUCCUCAGCAAGACAUUUGUAACCCUUCUGGUGAGACCCAAAAUCGAGGAAAACACAUGUCUGUGACCGAAACUGAAGCUUAUGCUGCUGAAAAGGCCUCAAGUAUAGAAAACAGGCACUCCUAAACACCUUCAGCUAAGAGUAGUCAGGGUUAGUCUUAUAUAGUUUCCCAUAAGGAGUCUGAUGAUGCAAAACUGGCAUUGGUAAUCUGUUGAUAAUAUGAACUACAUGAGAAAAUGCAAACGACCAGUAUUCCAACAGUAUUGAUGCCCGAGCUAGCAAAGUGAGACCCAUAUCAACUACAUGACGAUGUCUUCUUUCAGCGACCCCGUUUUGUUCUGAGGUAUAUGGACAAGUGAGACGAUACUGAACACCCAGUUGAGAGAGAGUAGCGGAUAAGGCACGAUACUUACCCCCUCCAUCUGUCUGUAGAAUUUUGAUAGACGCCCCAAAUUGUACUUGAACCAUCUUGUGAAAGUGAAGAAAACAACGAGCUACUUCUGACUUAGAUUUAAGAAAAUAUAACCUUGUGUAUCAGCUAUACAUAUCCAAAGAAGAAACGUAGUAUGAAAACCCAUUUGAUGACACAUGGGAGGGACCCCAAACAUCUAAUGCCACUAAUUCAAAAGGGACUGAAUACACUGUUUGUGAGGAACUAAAAGGUAACUUGCGAAAUUUGCCUAUCUUGCAAGGUGUACACAUAAACUGUAAACUAUUACGUUUGAAAGAAACAUUACAAGAAUUCAAAACAUGAGCAAGAGUAUUAGAACAGGGAUGGCCAAGUCUAUCGUGCCAAAGUUCAACAAAUGAAGGAGUCUGAAUAUUGCACACAAGAGGAGACCCAGAGCUUGAAGCAGAUUUAUUAAAAGUAGCUUGAAGCAGGUUUAUUGAAAGUAGGUCGAGAGAAGUCGAACCUAUACAAACCAUCAUGCAUGUGGCCCUCCAAGAGAAUCUUCCCUGUUCGAAUGUUCUUCACAAAACACAAAAAAGGAUGAAAUUCAAAAAAUACUGCAUUAUCUCUUUCAAACUACCCUACUGACAUCAAAUUUUUACAAACUGCAAGAACAUGGAGAACAUGUUUGAGGUGUAACAAGCGAGAACCAGCAGUAAAGGUGGAAAAGCCUAUAUUAUCAAUGGAAACGGACUCACCAUUACCCAUGGAGACCUCGUUUGUACCUGUGUAAGGAGAAGUAUUGUUGAGACUAGCUACAGUCGGGGUGAUGUGAUUGGUAGCACCCGAAUCAAGAUACCAAGUUUGAGUAGAAGAAGAAAAAGCCUGAGAAGAGGAAUACGUCAGACAUGAGCUACAAUAGUGGGAUGAGGAACAAUGGGACGUAGGAGCUUCACCAAGAUGAUGGUAGUUGACUAUCAUUGAAGAGCUCGAAUUAGGUCUUGAAAAAUUGUCAUCAAAGCGAUGAUAACAGGUCUACACCAAAUGUUCUAUUUUACCACAUAAUUGACACUGUGGUUUAGAACGAGUCCACCCUCGACCUGAACCACGAGCACGACCACGAGACCACCCACGAGUUUGACCCUGUAUCCAUGAUUAGAACUACGAUUAGACUCAGAACCAAUCUUGUGGAGAUUACCUUGCUGUGACUGAGAAACCAAGUUGGCUUGCAAAGGCAUAUCAGUUAGGAGAGCCAGUUGUCGUGCUUCACUGUCAAGAAGCAUUUCAGUAACCAGUUCAAGACUCAUUGGAGUGGCAGACACAAGAAUCUAAAUGGACUCAAACUCGAUGGGAAGGCCAGCCAAGAUAACGCUGAUCUGUUCUUGCUUCGUAACAAGGCUACCAGCGGCAGUCAGACUACCCACCAAGAUAACGCUGAUCUGUUCUUGCUUCGUAACCAGGCUACUAGAGGCAGUCAGACUAUCACUUAAACUCUUGACCUUGGAGAGGUAAUCUUUAAUGGUAAGACUGGCUUUCUUGAUCGAGUAUAGCGCAUGACGCAUACUGGAGAGUUUAAUAUUGGAUUUCGAACUAAAAUUUCUGUCAAUGGUCGUCCAAAUAUCACAACUGGUCUUAGCCGCUGUUAGAUGGACCAAGACUUCAUCAGAAAUUGUAGAUAAAAGCCACGAGGACAAGUACUUAUCUUGUUUUUUUAUGUACAAGAAACGCAGGAUUGGCUACAAGAUGACCAUCAGCACCAGUUACAAAGGCAGGAGGAGGAAGAAUUGUGCCUAAGACAAAACCUUGAAGACCAUAGCCUUCAAGAAUCAGCAGCAACUAAUUCUUCCAUAGAAGAAAAUUUCGUUCACUGAGUUUAAUGGUAUCAUGUUUGGCAAAAUAAUGAACACCAGCGAGGGAAGUAUACCGGGUUGAUUGACUGCUUCACCAGAGUUGGUAGAAUGCGGAGGUGUGUCAAUAGUGGGCACAACAUCAGUAGCCAUGAUCAGAAAAGAAAGAAAAAGAGAGAAGAAAAAAAAUUAUACCAAGAAAGAUCUGGCUCUUGAUACCACGUUAAGAUACAGAAAUUAAGGAGUAAACUGUAUUCUUGAUCAUUAGAGAGAAGCACCAACAGAGUAUUUAAUGCCAGAAGUGAGUUAUAACUACCUGUUAACAGACUCAUAACAACUAACUCAACUUCAACUAACUAUUUUGAGUAGUUUAUACAAUUAAUAUUUCUUUCAUUUCAUAACAAUCCGAUCGCUCUAAUAUUUAUAAAACUUUGCUUUCAUCUUUGCUGCCAAUGAACUAAGAAAAGUAUUAGAGCUCUUGCACAAUUGAUUUCAGGAAAACAUAAAUUUGCAGUUGGACUUUUGUUACUAGAGAAGACAUUAAUGGUUUUAGUAAAUAGCUUGAAAUAGCCAUUAAUGGAACUUGCCCAUUCCCACUCAUCAUCACUUGAAGCAAGGUCUGAAAUUCAGAUUUAUUAAAAACUUAGCGAACUAUGUAGCAUUGUUGUAAAUAUGUUUGCCCCGUAAAUAUGGAGCACCUACUCACUAUGUACUGACCAUACUUCUCUUUGAUUGCAGGCAAAUUAGCAACACCACCAUUUCGGUAGAGUUGAGGCAGUCCCCUAAAUUAGAGGGCUGGCAUAGUGUGUAAUCCCUCAAUGUAGAAUCCUACCCAAUAAAUGAAAAAGAAUAGAUAUAUAGCUGAACAAAUCAGUACUUAGUAAAUAAACUAUGCCUUGGACGUACCAAAUAUUACUGUCGACUUUUGCUUUUAAAUACCCUUUCUCAUUUAUUUCUGUCAAACAAAUUCAACAAAUUAAUUUAUCCAUUGCAACAAAAAUUAACCAAUGGGUAAAUCGUCCAACAUUAUGUUUUAGAAUGCUUUUCAAGGUAGCAAAUGCAUCAAACUUUGUACAAAAAAUAAAGAACGAGUAGAUAUUCCAUAAAAGAAGCAACUCGAUCGAUCAGACUAAUUUGAAAAACAGAUAAAUAAGUAAUAAUUAGAACUGAAAAGAAAAAUAAAAAGAACAAAAAAACCAGUGCGAGAAGAAAGGUAAAUGGUCAUGCCAUAUUUACCUAGUUAAUUAACUAGUGUUGACUAUUGGUACAAUCGACGUGAUUUAGGCUCAAGAAUGAUUUCUGCAACAUUUUUCACUUAAGGGGUGAAAUUUCUUCAUCUUCUUCUUUAUACUGAGGUAGUAAGGUAGGUCUUCUCCUUUUCCAGAAUAUAGCUUCUCGUGAAGGACUGGUAUCAUUUAGCUGAGAUGCCUUCAUUUCAUAACAAAUUAAAUUUCGUUGAGAAUAAAAAAAAACAAAAUAAAAAUUACUCAAUUUCAUAUAUAUUAGAAUUUAGAAACAAUAGUGGAAAACUCAAGUAAAAAAGUGUUGGGAAGAUAAAUACCUGAUCAGUUUUAGCAUGCACAAUCAACGUUAAAUAAUCUGCACUGAAACUUGUGAUCAGCUUGGAACAUUGCUUAAUGUGAAGCAAAUCCAAACAUGGGAAUUCCAGAUGAUAACCCACAGGGCUGAAGCUCUCGAGCUUUGACAAAUUUUCAAGUACUAUUUCCUUUAACCGAGGGAAUUCUAGAUGAGGACCUUGUGAAGAUGAUGAAGAUGCUAAAAUGUCAUCAUUUCCAAUUAUUUGCUUCAAGUUCACACAUGACGCUAUGUUUAGGAUGCUUAAUUGCGGUAAAUAUGGAAAGAGCGUAACUGGAAAGAUGUAUGUCAAAUUAUUACAGUUGUGAAUAGUUAGUUCUCCAAGAUUGGUUGCAACCCCUCGCAACCUGAUCACAUUAAAAAGAUCCAAUGGUUCAGAAGUCCCCAAAGGUAUAUUUUCGAAAUCUGAUGAUUUUUGUCUCAACUCUGUGUUUAUCAUAUUGCAUGACUUGACAUCUUCACCAUCUAUAUCUUCCAUAGAGAAGCUUAACUCCUGCACAAAAGCACAGGAAAGUGUUAUUCUUAUAAGUUCUUUCAAUAUCAACCAAGUAAGUAUUGCACUCUCAUAUCGUGUCUUCUUUUUAACUUUUUAAUUACAUGAAUUGACAAAUUGUGCAUUAGAGACUUUCCACUUUUCUAAGGAAAUUAGAUUUUAAUUAAAAUGAAAGACAAAACUUCUUUUUGAAAUAAAAAAAAAAACAAAGGAAUUAAGAAAACAAAACUGAAAAGGAAUGUACCUUUAAAGAAACAGACUUCUUAACUUCUUUAGGAAAAGUAAAAUUUGAAAACACUGAACAUUCUCGGAUAUGUAAAAUUUCCAAAAUUGGUGCUUCCAAUAAGUUGUUUCCUCCAAUAAUACUCCUCAAGUUUCUCAAUUCAACAAGUUUUAUCUUUCGCAGAAGGGAAAAAACUCCAAUUGAAGUAUGCGGAAGACAUAUUCUAAACUCAAGCAUCCUUUAAUCUUCACAAUUUCCAAGUUUGGCAAGUACUGUGCCUUUGAUUCUAUUCCAUCAUCCAUUCGAAAUAUCUUUGAAAAAUUUCCACAAUUAGCAACUCUCAAAAUUUUGAGAUUUUGCAAGAAACACUUGGGAGAUUGGUCAUUGCACUUGAAAUCCAUCAUUAUUUGUGAUAUAUCAACCAAGCAUUCACCACCCUGCCAGCUGCUAUAGAGAGGGAAGUUAAUCCAUCUAAAUGUUCCAAAUCUAUAAGAUCUGGGACGAGAUUUUUGUGAUCCCCAAUAUCGUAGAGAAUGAGAUCUUUUGUAUUGCAUAACAAUUCCUUAAAUGCCGAUAAUCCAGUUUCCUAAUUGUAAUUCAUCACAUAAAUGAAAACAAAUCAUUAAUUAAUGAAAGAAUAAAUUAAAUAUUAGAUUAAUUUAGUAACAUAUUGGUAUCAUAAAAUAUAUAUAUAUAACAACAGAUUGGCAUAACAAUUACCAACAAGAAAUAUGAUAAUUAUACACAGCGAAUACAACUAUUUUUAUAUAUUUUUUAAGCUCAACUUUAAGGUUGGGAGGGGCAUGGUAUGAAAAAGUUUAAUAAUUAGAAAAAUCAAAUAAAAAAUCCAGAAAAGGAAAAAAGAGUUAGAAAAGUGUACCUCUAACAUUGACUCCAGCUGAUUGUUGGCUUGUUGAAUGGGAAGGUUCAUCACUUUAGAACAACCCUUAGCUUUCAUUCUUUUUAAAUAUGGUGCUUUGACAAUAUAGUUUUGUGGGACAAAACUAGUCAAGUUUCGUAACCGUCUAAAUUUUAGAUAUUGUAGACUUGGAAGGAGCAGGCUACCAUGGUGUUGAACACCAUCUUGUUCAUUUGGCAUGCCGAAUACUUGCUUUAACUCAUCACAAUAAGAAACCAAAAGCGAUUCAAGAGCAGGAAGACAUUGAGCCGAAGUGAUUGGCACAACAUAUUCCAGCUUUGAACACCCUUUGAUGAUAAGAGUCUUCAAUUUGGGCAGGCGGAGAGGAAGGGAAGAAGGCUUUGAGUCUAUUUCACCAUCAUUUCCGGAUCAGCGAAAAGAGUUUCCAAUUCGUCGCAGUAAUGUAUGCCGAGCUGUUCUAAAAGCACUAGGUUUUGAAUAAGGGAAGGUGAAAAGAGGGAUUUCAAAUUCCGGCAUCGAUUUAUGUUUACAUCCUUAAGACUUUGGAAGGUGAAAGAGUGGGGUGAGCCUUUGAAUAUCCAUCUCAAUUCUGGUAAAUCGCAGAGAUUCAAAGAUUGUAAAUUUGAAAGUACGUGCUCUUGAUUUUUUUCUCUAUUAUGAAGGAGCUCAUCCACCACUUGCAACUUGUAACAUUCUUUAACAAACAGAUGUUUCAAGUUUUUGAGGAAACCUUGUGGAGGCUGACCCUUGCAUAAGGCUUCCAACCGAGGCAUUUUUGUUAUAAAUAAUGUCUCCAAAUAAGUGAAUGCUGAAGUUGGCCCAUUCUUUGUUGCAGUAGCGGUGGUAUCAACCAAGCAUUCAAGAUCUGCACAAUGCUUAAGUUGAAGUGAAGUUACUCCAUUCAGUCCAUCUUCAUUAGCUUCUGGAACCAGAUU